rnacentral:lncRNA from 1 species
UGGUUUUAUGCCUUAAAGGUACUCAUGCUUUCAAACAAGAUCUCAUCUCUCGAUUUGGGUAAACUAUUAAGAUUUAAACAUACUCAUUUUACCUUCCACCAUGGGGCUUGCAACCGUCACUUGUGUCUUGAGCAGUUAAAAGAUAGAACGGUCUAGUCAAGCGCCAUGUCUCUUGUUCUUCGAUUAACUAUAGCUCUGGAGUUUUUGCAUAUUUUCAAAUAAAACUCAGAGAUUCCUUGUAUGACUCUCUCUAGUCUCUCUUUUGUGGUAUUUUUGGAUCCGUACCAAGGCAGUAAUGGUGUAUGCCUUCUCUCAAAGUAUGUGGUAUUUUUGGUAUGAGGCAUAGUGGCAUUGCCUUCUCUCUCACCCUACUCUAAUAAGGUUUUGAUAUCUGGAGCUCAUAGGUGGGAGACAACUAAUACAUACUUACAAGACAUUUAUUGCAUAGUCAAACCAUGGAUCCAUAAGAACAAGUCAAUAAGUCAAAUCAAGAUGUGCAUGUGUGGCGAAUGAAUGGUGAUAAUGGUGAAAAUAAUGGUGAAAGUAUAAUUCUACUUUUGCUCUUUUGAAGGGGUACCUACCUUCCUUGCACUUGAGGCUUUUGAGGGGAAUGAGAUGCUCUAUAUUUUAUUUUUCUUUUCUCUUAGGUGGGUAUCUUGUACCCCUAAUUCUACUGUCGGACACUUGUCCAUUUUUACCUCUCGUCUCACUUUUUCUUCUUUUUUUCAAGGUUUCGGGCACUGGCCCCUUUUUAUUUCCUCGUAUUCACUUUUUUUAGAGCACUCACCCUCCUGGAAUAAUGUAGCAAGUGGUAGUAACCAAAAUAUUUUGAGCAUUUAUUUCAUGGGGAAUAACAGGGAUAGGAUAAUGUUUUUGGCUAUUCUCUCCUAGAUAGGAGUAGAAUAAUUUUGGGUGAAUUUGGAUAUGGAAAUGAGUGGAUGUAUGUGGAUGUGUACUUCCGGAGUAGAAGCAGCAUGUAUGAGUGAAUGCGCAAGUUAAUCUUGAUUAUAACCGCAUGACAAGCUCCUAAGGGUCUACACAGCUUGACCACACUCAAUGCUCAUAAGCUGUAAAAAGUAAAUGUAUGGUUCAUAGUCUAAUAAGCAUGUAUAUAUGGCUGUGGUAGGAUUUUAAACUCUCAUCAUACAGGAACUCAUCAUGCAACAUUUUACAGAUUUUCAAAGAUAAAAUUCUCUAGAAUUCUAGCAUCUCUAGGAACAGAUAAACAGCAGCUCAACCUUCCCAUAUCGUAUCCGUUAACGACUUAGACUUUAGAUCAACUACUCUUACCACAAGUUCAGGUUUAGAGCAAAGCUUAAUUAAUAACAGUCAUGCCUAAACUUGAGAGAGAUUUCAAUUUUGAGAACUUGUCAUGGUAGAGCAACUAUUGAUCAUUUCCAUUUGAGAGCUUAUCAUGAGGGUUCAUAGCAAACUUUAUUUAUUUAUUUAUUUAGCAAACUAAGCAAAGAUAUAUAUAUAUAUAGGCAUAAAAUCUUUAUUUGGGUUUUUAUGAUUAUGCAUCUUUUUAUUAUUUGAGUAAAAUAUAAACGUGAGUAGAACACUUAGCUGGAUAAACGGGGGUGCUCUCCCCCAAGCUGGAUUUUGACGUAAUUUCUUCUGAUGUAGCUAGCAGGUGGUGGAUGUGUAUUUGAAUGUUGGCAACACCCUGACAGCGAUUAGGAUGUCCUCCGUCUGCUAGUCUUCUUUGAUCCUUGAAUUCUGUGGAGCUCAAAUAGACAACAAAGCUUUGUGGAACUGGUUAAAUGUUAGCAUAAAAUCUCUUAGCCGUUAUCAUGUUGAGCUUCCUCUAAUAAAUAUUACCCUCUUUGGUAGGAUCAUAAAUUUAUUUUUAUAUUUUCAUUUUUAUAGGACAGGAAUAUAUUUAUUUUAUUUUUGCCACCACAGUGAAUGUACUUAUGGGUUUUAUGCCAUGAGCAUACUCACAUGGGGCUUACUAUUUUUAACAUUUUUAUUUUCUUUUCAAGAUAGCAUGAUUAACUAGCAAGCCAUUUAAUGAAAGUAAAUAAUUUAAGGGAAAAGGGAAUGCUGAAAGGAUAAAUAUGGAUAACUACCGAUUUUACCUUUCGGCGAGGGUUCAAUGUUUUAAGUCUUCUGAACAAGACUUCUCACCAUGUUCAUUCUUUAGGUGCGUCAUUUGAUUCAGGUGUGGACCUUGAUGUCUACACCUCUUGAUACGGUGUCACCCAUGUUCUUCGUUUGCCCAGCAGUUCGAAGUGCGGCGUUGGCAGCAUUCUGCUCAGUGUGUUUGUGCUCGUAGAUCUAGGUUCUUCACUUGGUGGAAUCUGGGAGUUGUAAAACUCCUCCAUAUUUUGCUCAAAGUGUACCUGCUCAUAGAGACAAGGCAGAGAUCAAGUGCAUAGGCCCUGUUGGUGGAAAACACCAAUAGAACCAAAAGUGUAUUUGUUCUUCUCUAACCUUAAGCAUAGUGUGCAAGACAAAGUUGAUGGAUAAUAAGAUCAUGAGCGUAGCAUUUAAAGCAUUUGUCAGAUCAGAUCGCUCAACCUAAUGGAAAGAUAAUCUAUCUAUACUUAUGUUUUUUUAUAUAUCUUCCAAAGAUUGCAUGUGCAACAUUUUAGCUCAUAUUAUUAGGAGUGUGGGAUCAUAAAGGUGGAAGGACUAAACAUAUUGAAUCAAUUGGGUUGGUUAAUCUAGAGUUGUAAAUCAUAUAUGUUUGUCUGUUUUAUUCAUGUGAACGCCAGAACCAAGGAGAAGCUUAUAAAAGUGAUAGUCAAGUACCUUAAGAUGUUACCUUACUUGAAGAGUGAUGGUACGGUAUCACCUUGUGGAACCUUUCCUUUCUUAGCGGUUGUGCAUCGUGUUUGUGGCACCCUCGAUGGAUCAUCUCUUGUGAGCUAUGCCUUCCUUGUGUAAAUUGUUAACCUUCAUGUGUCUCUCUCUUUCUCUCUAAUGUGAGUUUAUCUCAGGACUUCCCAGGUCGAUAUUGAAAGUUUUCUUGUAGGGGUUAGUCCAACAAAAUAUCUCAUAUCUACUAUAGCAUACUAUCGGCUCAAAAAAUCAACCUAGACACCAUGUCUAAUUUGAUUUAGGAGGGCAUUUUAACCUAAGCACCAUGCUUAAUUUAAAAUCCCUUGGAAGCAAGAUCAUCAUUCCUAAACUAAGCACCAUGCUUAUUUAAGAGAUAAAUGAAACUACUCCAAACCUAGACAUAUACUAAAGCAAAUAAAGCUAGCAUGAGAGCAUUUAUAGAGAUCUACUCAAGUGGAGAUGAAUUAGUGUGAUUAGUAUUUAACAAAUUGAGCAUGUCUAAAAGGUAGGGACAACCAACAUAGCAACAUGGCAAAGGAUGUUUUUAUGUAAAGUACACCCCCAAGCUUGAAUUUUGCAAAAUUCAAGUUUGGAUGAAUUUAAUUCAAUGUUGUAUGAUGAUUGGUUGGACAUACCUUGUGCUUGUCAUUCAUCCGAUCUUCUUGCUCCAAUCCUAGAAAGGUUAGUGACAAGAAUGAAUACCUGAAGGAAUUUUUAUCAAUUAUCCUUAUAUGGUCAAUACACAAGGUAAUAUUGCAAAUAAUUAAAAGCUCAUGUUACGAUCUGAUCAGUUUAGGACGCUAAGCUUGUCCUUGGGAAACCAUAAAUUUAUGUCGGCGAAGUGGUUUCCCCUCUAACGCUGACCUAUAUCAAGAUCAACUUAAUGAGAUCUGCAAUAUUUAUAAUAGACAUAUGCAUCGAUAGCUGCCCUUUUAAAGUUUUUAUAAAUAGAAAGGAAGAGGGGGUUGGAGAUCUCGAAUGUGGUGGCGUUGGAGAGACCAGUAGAUUGGGAAGAUGUUGCAUAUGAGCAUGGAGUAAACGAAGUGGCUAUGAAAUAAAUUUCAUGCUCAUUAAUGUUUGGAGUGAAAUCCAUGUGGUGUGGUGAAAAUGGUAAGGUGAGUGUGGUAAAAAAGUAAAAGAAAAGGAUACACGGACGACUUGGUUCGAAACUAGCACAGCUACCGUUCCCCGGCAAGAGAGCUUGUUGGGAAUUUUAAACGCCAACAGAAAAAUCCGCAAGCGCACGGAUACCGAUGUAGCUUUCACCCGAGAGUAAUACAGAGUAUUGAUUUUCCACAGGGAACGUGAGUGUACUAAUUAAAAUUCAAGAUCGCCCAAGGAUAACUAUAUAAUUAUUUUUUCAUGGGAAGACAGGAAGUUUCCUAAGAGUUCUCUAAUUGAUCUAAGAACAAAGAAUUACUUCAAAGAUUAUUUAUUUCGAGACAUCAGAACACUAACCACAGAAAGAGAUGAGAAGGGGGCUAGGAAGUUCUCACUACGGUCCUACAAACACCGAUCCGAACGAGGUGGAAUACGUCGACCGUUAGGCUGUCACUACCCUAGGGCUACCACAACAAUCCGCAGGAUUGGGUGUAAUUCCAGGUAAAAGACUAAACACCACGUCUAAUCUAUUAAUUACUACUCUAGCGUUUUAAAGACUAGAUUACUUGAUGCAAGCGGGAAUCCAAUAAAUAACUUGAAUGCAAAUAAAAGUAAUUAAAGAACUCAGGAAUUAUGAAUUGAAGAACUUGGAGAACGAUGAAGAACGAACCAGUUGCUGCAAAAGUACAAUGUCGAGGAAGAUCCGACAGAUCCGACUCCUCCUCCGCUCUCCUCUUCUCUCUCCCUAUUUUUUAGAUUACAACUAGAACUAACUAGAACUAGAACUAGAUGAACUAGAACUAGAACUAGAUGAACCAGAUGGAUCCUCUCUACUUGGAUGAAUAAUUGAAACCCUAGCUUUGAUUCCGUAGAAGAGGUAUGUUCUCUAGGGGCCAGGGGGCCUGCUUAUAUAGCCCUUCCAAAUGAACAUGGGCCGUUGGAUCAAACCGACCUUAAUUGCACGGUUAUUUUUGAAGAUUAGAGGCGGUGGAGCACGAUACGUGAGACCUGCCCUGAUUGGUCACGAGGGCAGGGCGAGCGCCCAGCCCCCGGGCCCGCUCGGCCUCCCGUUCGUUCCUGUGGCUUCUGGAGUCUUCUAGAUGAUAGAAAAUUGGCGCACAUGUUAAUAUCUCUAUGUAAACCCGACGUGUGGGCCUUUUCUCCAUGUUUCCUAAUAACCCCCUGUAGAAAUAGACAAACACCAAAACUCGUGGAAUUCUGUUAGAUGAAACCCUAAUUUUGGAUGUUGGUUGCAUAUAGGUCCUUUUCCAUGAUUAGUUGACGGUUAAAUGUGAGCAUUAAGGACCGUCAACACAAACUCCUUGUUGUUAGAAGAGAACAAGGAAAAGGUUGUCGUAUCAUGUGAUGUGGGCACACCAUGUGACUUAAUUAAGGAAUCACCCAACCCACCUAUUGUUGUUGCCACUAACUCCUGUUGUAGGUCUUCAUCCACCACCGCCAACUCUACCUCUACUUCUAGUGAUGGUAUCACAUGUGAUGCUUCACUAAAGGUUGAGAAUGAGACUCUCAGGAGAGAGGUGGAUGAGCUCACUCACGCCCUAGGCAAAGCCUAUGGUGGUGAGGCCCACUUGCUAAAGUGCUUGGGUAGCCAAAGGUUUUCUCUCAACAAAUAGGGAUUAGGCUAUAACCCCAAGAAAGGCAAGGCGGCCUUUGUAACUCACAAGCCUAGCUUUGUGAAGUGCAAUGGUCGGUUUUGCAACAAAUGCAAGCAAGUUGGGCACCUAGAGCUUAAUUGCGAUAAAAUGAACAAGAACAAGAAAAAUGCUAAUGUAUCUUACAUUCCAUUUGAUUCUUGUUAUGUGCUUACCAAGGGUGAGAAGGGUGUGCAUGCUAAGUUUGUUGGUACACCAAUUGUGGGUCCAAAGAAGAAGGCCAUUUGGGUACCAAAGAGCUUAGUCACUAAUCUCCAAGGACCCAAACAAUUAUGGGUACCUAAGAAACAUUGAUUUGUUUUGUAGGUAAACUAUAAAGCUGGAGGAAGGCAUUGGGUGCUUGAUAGUGGGUGCACACAACACAUGACCAGUGAUUCAAGAAUGUUCAAUGCAAUCAAUCCAAAUGAUGACAAUGGUGUUGAUAGUAUCACAUUUGGUGACAAUGGCAAAGGCAAGGUCAAAGGGCUUGGUAAAAUUGCUAUAUCUAAUGACUUGAGCAUUUCCAAUGUGCUAAUAGUAUAGAGCUUGAACUUCAACUUGCUAUCCGUAGCUCAACUUUGUGAUCUUGGUUUCAAAUACAUAUUUUGAGUUGAUGAUGUAGAGAUCAUAAGUGUAGAUGGCUCCAACUUGAUAUUCAAAGGCUUUAGAUAUGAGAAUCUAUACUUGGAUGAUUUCAAUGCUAGUGAAGCUCAAUUAUCAACAUGCUUGCUCACUAAAUCAAGCAUGGGUUGGUUAUGGCAUAGAAGGCUUGGUCAUGUUGGAAUAAAACAAUAAAACAAGUUAGUCAAGCAUUAUCUUGUUAGAGGCUCGAAAGAUGUUACAUUUGAGAAAGACAAGCUUUGUAGUGCAUGUCAAGCCAGAAAGCAAGUUGGCAACACUCAUCCAAAGAAGAGCAUCAUGAGUACAUGCAAGGCAUUUGAGUUGUUGCACAUGGACUUAUUUGGACCAACCACAUACACAAGCAUUUGUGGAAAAAAAUAUGGAUUUGUGAUAGUGGAUGAUUUCACAAGAUACACAUGCGUAUUCUUUUUUAGUGACAAGAGUGAUGCUUUUGCAACCAUCAAAUCAUUUGUCAAAAGAAUUGUUGAUGCAAAAGUGGAUCUGCAAACACAAAAGGCUAAUACCCAAUUCAACUUAAGGCGUGCCAGCCGAUUUGACCUUACAACCGACAAAGGUGAUAACUCGAAUACUUUGGUCCCAACAACAGCGAUAUGCCCGGAUGCCACAGCCAAGAGGUAUUCACGCGGAACUUGAGAACUCGCCGAGGUUAACUCAAUGAAUUCCUAAGAACUCGUAAGGAAAAUGAAAAUAUGCAAGUUGACGAAGUCGUCGAAAAAGUAGAUGCUGGAAUAGAUUUAAAACUUGUGUUUGAUUGAUUGUGAUUGUCUUCUUACAUCGCUACUAGGUCUAUAUUUAUACCAUGUCCCAAAGAGCUACAACCAGGUACGACUAGAAUUCUAUUUCCAAAUUAAACAGAAUCCGUAUACAAACAAACUCUAAUAACUAUGAAAAUCAUUAGUUUAUCCAUCCUAGGUAAUCGGCACGCUACCACUGUUUCCUCGACAGUUCCUAUACCCUUCUCCACCAUCAUCGGCACCUCAUCCUCCAUCGGCAUCGGCAACUGUUAACAUCAGCCAUCGUUAUAGAUCAAUCAUUAUUCCUAGACUCGGUCAUAUUCUGCUGCUCUAUCAUCGGCAUCAUAACCCAUUGGUAACUCCUCCGUCAACCAGUCAUUACUUUUUCACCUCCCGAUCCAAGUUCCACUAUCUGUCCGGAUACAUGUAAAAAACGGUAUCAACACAUGCCCCACAAUUUCGGAGUAUAAAAUCAUUAAUGCUCUAAAAUUCUCUUCAGUAAUGAUGUCUUUCCACAAUUACUCCCCUCUGACAGCAAUUAAUUACCAAAUCCAAACAACCUUAGCUCGGAUCUCUAGCAUGCACCUCGAAUCCCUCAACUUCUCGACCGAAUCUCCUAAACACACGUUCAUCGGCAACUUUUCCGUUAGAGAGGAUUGCUGAUGAGCUGACCAGGAGAUCCUGCACAGUAAAAUAUCUCCCAAAAUCAUGACCGCUUGCUGUCAAAUCACCUGCACAAUCCCUUGAUUACCGUACGAACAGCUACCAUAUCCACCUGAACACCCUCGAGUUUUAUGGAUACGGCAAAGAGAUAAGUCAGAAAUGCCCCUGCUCACUUUAUCCUAUAAAUACUUCCUUCCUCAGCACUCCUUCUUCACCUUGUCAUCCUGCAUCCUCCAAACUCACCUCUCUGGCGGCAGCAUCGUUGAAGAGCCCAAGAACUUCAACAAAAUCUUCCCCAACGGUUCCUGAAGCUUCCGAUCUCCUUCGUCGGGAAGAAAUGGCCGUCAACUUCAUCGUCCCUGAGGUUAAUCUAUUCCCAUAUUUCUUCUCUCUGCUGUAUUUUAACUUUUUUGCAAGUCUAUUUACUUAGCAUUUUCUUUAUUUCUUUCUUUUCCUCUAUUCUUCCAAUCUCCAAACCUUUUAGGAAUUGAGCGAAAAAAUUGUCAUCCCCACCGAGCAACUUCAUCUUCAAUGCCUCGGUCCAUUGGGUGACCCAGAUCCCACUUAUCUGAUCAAUGCAGAAACCAAUAGAAUCCCCUUUAGGGCCGAAAAUUUUUCAUUAGAUGUGUGGAAAGAUACCUUCCAAUCCUGGCCAAUUUCUACCAAGGGAUGGAAGGACUGGUUUUUGAGAGUCAGCAACUCGAACGAAGUACAAUGGGGUGAACGCAAACUAGAUCAGUGUAUCGGGCUAUCCUUGUCUGAUAUGGAUAGGAAUGAGUCACUACUGAUAGUUGCUUCAUACUUCUGGUCAGACACUCUCAAUGCUUUCCUGUUCGGUCAUGGCCCUACUUCUCCCACUCUUGUCGAUGUGCUCAUGCUCACUGGCUUAGAUAUUGCAUCUGCCGAUGACGUCCAUCUGUACGACCGUAAAGCUGAAUGCAAGGUAGAAACCCGCAACAUCGGCGGUUGCUCAGGAUAUAUUCACAAGUACCAGAGGACAGGACUAGUCGGGUAGAGGGAACACGCCACUUUUCUGAACAUGUGGCUAGACAAGUUCGUCUUCUGUGGCCGAUCGGUAGGACCAACCUCUUUCUACUUAUCGGCAGCAGAAAGGCUAGCCGAUGGUGGCCGAUUUCCCCUUUGCCGAUACUUGCUAGGUUCUGCUUAUCACCUCAUCCACCAAGUGACUGAGAAGCUUCUGUUAGGUGAACCGAUCGGCAACCUAGGAGGCCCCUGAUGUUUUAUCAACAUGUGGCUUAAUGUUCAUAUGCACAAACGCCUUCGGUUCGAUCUCCUUGUACAGCGAUUCCCAAGAGACAUUGUCGAAGAUUAUGAACUAGCUAAUGAUGAAUCGACAACUCGCCCGCCCAUCAAUUAUGGCGAGGCUACUAUAGUUCUACCCGGUACCAGCUGCAACGAAAACCAAAUUGGCCGAUUCUUCCAAACCUUAUAUGACGGCCUUACCAAAGAACAUCGAGCAUGGAUGCCCUACAAAGAUCCAAAAACUAGAUUCCCGCUCAUCUUCCACCCUUUUGACAAUGCUCUCAAUAAGGAUAAUGACUUAAUGAUGGCAAUCAUCACUCCGAGGGCCAUCCCAGUGAACACCUUUGGCAGUGGGAAAAACACUAGCCCCACUUAUGAGUUUUACAAUCCAUUGGCACUAGCUCGUCAACUAGCUUUUGGCCAACUACCGAUCAGACUCUGUUAUGCCGAUGUGGUGAAGCCAAGGGAGAUAAUAACCAGUGGGCUUGAGUGGCUAAGGAUAGCUCAGCUUCAACCUAAUGCCGAUACAAUGGACAUCGAUUUAUCGGCAUGGGUGCCAGCUCUUUAUAUCACUCAGUUGUAUAAACAAUGGUGGGAGGAGUGGAAGGAGCACCUGUUCAGCACAUCGGCCCAUACAUACUGCGGCAUGAUCGACCCUGACUACAAAGUUCCCGAUGAUAUUGUAAGUCUUUUACCGAUACUUUGACCCUUCCGUUAUUUCUGUUCUUAUCGGCAACUUAUUUGUUUUGUGUUUAUUUCAACAGGUUGAUAAUCCAGCGCCAACAAUCAGCAGGAGUGGGAAGCCGAUCGAUCUUCUUCAAUCAGGCCCGAUUUCUUUGAUCAGCCACCACGCACCAAGUCUAGCGGCUCUAGCGCACCGCAACGUGCGCUUCAAGAAGACGACCACCAAGAGGUCAAAAGCAUCUCCAUCGGUAGCCGCUGCCACUCUAGCAUAGGCUUUCAAGGUAAAACUCAAUAAUUUCCUUUGCUUGUAUUGAUUUCAUCCCAUACUCAUAUCACUCUUUCAAGGUACAUCGGCCGCAACAGGAACUUCAUCGGUAAUUUUAUCUUCCAACAAAAUUUCAUCAAUAUUCUUUUAUGUUUUUACUCAUGAAGUUUUGGUUGUUGCAAGAGCAAACUGACUAUUCGGCUAAGACCAGAAGUGCUCAAACAAGUGCCGAUGCCCCCCAGCCCACUCAAGCUAAGAGAGGACAGCACCAAGUCACAACCAAAGCGCCAGAGGACAGCACCAUCUCCUCCUCCUCGUCCAGCAUCGCCUAUCCAUGUAGAAUCAUCACCUUCUUCACCGGAAGCCCAGACACAAGAAGUACCUUCUCCUCCCUGACAAGUACCCCAGCAGCAAGAAGCACCAGCCGAUGUCUCUGAACAGGUUGCCGAUCCGGCUGAUCUGGGCACGUCAUCGACCAUCCCUCUAGAACAAUCAAUCACCAUACAUCCUCAAGGUAAAAUAUUGAUCAUAGAAUUAUCACUGAUGAAUUUUAUUUUUGCAAAUCAUAAUCAACCUUGUAAUUUCUCAGUUGAAGUUAUUCCAUCGGCAACUCCAGUCGAUCAACCCAUAGUACCGGCUGCAUCCCCACGUCUGAGGCACGAAAUUGCUCUGAAGCAAGUAAGUUAUUUGAUCUCUAGCCUUUAUAUUAUUAAUACUUGAUCAUCAAAUAACUUAUCUCCAUUCCUUUCUUAGGAACAAGAUUCUCCAGACAACCUAUUCUCCUUUGCCAUCGACAUUUCCGAUGACGAGGGUGAAGAAGCAAGCUCUUCUCAAGCAGUAGGAAUCUCAUCGGUAGAGAUUAAAGCUAAGCUGGAAGACUUGUUGGCUCUACUGCAUCAAUACACAGCCCAGCUAGUAGAUGAUUCUGAUCUAGCCAAAGCUUUGUUCAAGACUCUUCGUGGUCAGAUCCCAGCCAAUGCAGAAGAAGUCCUUUUCCAAGCUACACACUUAGAAAGCCGCCAGCUCCAAUAUGAGAAAGCAACUCAGCGUCUUGCCGGUAGAGCUGCUCACGCCCGGCUCACAGAAGAAGUAAUGCAAGUAAAGUGCGCUGCCGAUGAAAAACACAAGAGCAUCGGCAUUCUGCAGUCCUCAGGGGAUGAGCUAAAGCAGAAGAUUUCUGACCUAUCGGCAAGAAGAGAAGCCCUGCUAGCUGAACUCAAACAGGUAGAAGAGGCUCUGACCCAAGCUCAGCAAGAAGAAAGCUAGCUGCCUGAAAUGCUCAAAACUCUUCAGCAAGAAAGAAAUAUCCAAGCUCGCAAAGCACUAUAGAUGAAGAAGAUACUGACGCCGAUAGAGGGUUCUGCCGAUGAAGAUAUUCGGGAGAUAGAAGCGGCCAACCAGAUCCGUCUGCACGCCAUAUCUACUAUCCAAGCUUUGCUAAACCUGUGAGCUCUUCAUCGGCAACUCGUUCAAUUCUGCCCUUAGAAAACUUCUAAUCAUUUUGAUCCAGCCGAUAGGAUUGUUAUCGGCACCUAAACAUUAUGCAUGAUCCCAGACAUAGUUCAUCUAGCCGAUAGGAGUGUUAUCGUCAUUUAAACUUUCACGCAUCAAUCCAGAUACUUGGGUAGUACUUCCUCAAAUAUUUUUCAUUUAAUGCUCUAGUAAAUUCAACUCCUUUGAGAGUUUCUAAAAUAUAAGUAUUGCCAGGAGCAUACCGACUUAUCCGAUAAGGACCUUCCCAAUUAGGAGACCAUUUUCCAAAUUUUAAAAUUUUAGUCCCAAUCAUUAGAAUUAAUUUCUAUACCAAAUCCCCAUCAGCAAACUCUUUGACUUUCACCUUUUUAUCAUACCAUUUGGCAACUCUCUUUUUAUUUUGUUCUAUACUUAUCAAACCUCUCAAUCGAUGCUCUACCAAAUCAUCCAACUCAUCUUUCAUCAAAGUAGCAUAGUCAUCGGCAGUUAAUUGAUCUUGGAAAGACAUCCGCCUAGAUCCAGUUUUAAUUUCCCAUGGUAACACCGCAUCGUGUCCAUACACCAACUGAUAGGGUGAAACUUUGGUUGACCCGUGACACGCCAUCCGAUAUGACCACAAAGCUUCAUUUAACAAUGUGUGCCACCUUCUUGGAUUUUCUUCAACUUUCCGCUUAAUAAGCUUAAUAAUCCCUUUGUUAGAAGCCUCGGCCUAUCCAUUAGCUUGAGCAUAGUAAGGAGAAGAAUUCAACACUUUAAUCCCCAUACCGAUUGCAAACUCAUCAAACUCUCCUGAUGUAAACAUGGUACCCUGAUCGGUAGUGAUUGUUUGAGGAAUGCCAAAUCGAUAAACAAUGUGUUCUUUCACAAAAUCAAUCAUGUUGGCCGAUGUCACUUUCUUCAAAGGAAUAGCUUCAACCCAUUUAGUAAAAUAAUCAGUGGCAACUAAGAUAAACUUACGACCCUUGCUUGACGGCAGAUAAAUCUGGCCGAUGAGAUCAAUGGCCCAUCCUCGGAACGGCCAAGGUUUAAUAAUGGGAUUCAUAGCCGAUGCAGGUUCCCUUUGAAUAUUGCUAAACUUCUGAUAUCCUUGACAUCCUUUGAAGUGUUUCAAGCAAUCUUCAAGUAUAGUCGUCUAAUAAUACUCGUUUCUCUUAAUCCUCCACUCCAUCUUGAAAGCCGAAUGAUGUGCUCCACAAACUCCAUGAAUUUCACCCAUCAAGCUUCUAGCUUCAUCAUCGCCCAAACAUUUAAGCAAAACUCCAUCUAUCAUUUGAUAAUACAACACUUCUUCAAGGAGCACAUACUUCGUGGCUUGAAACCUAACAUGCCUCUCAACUUUCUUGGAUGGAUCCUUUAAAUAAUUAAUAAUUUCUUUUCUCCAAUCAUCAGCACCGAUUGUCGAUAAUAUAUUCACGAUGGGUUGAUACCCCGAGGCAUGUUGAGCCAAUCGGUUGGCUUCUUCAUUAUGCAACCGAGGAAUAUGCUCUAACCGGAAAUUCUUGAAUUCCCUUAACAGUUGUACGCACCUUUCAUUGUAGGUUACCAAAACCUCAGUUUGGCAUUCAUAAAUUCCAGCCAACGGAUUUAUAACGAGCAUAGAAUCACCAAAGACUUCAACAGCAUCGGCAUGAACCUCCUUUAACAGUUCCAAUCCUUUGAUCAAAGCUUGGUAUUCAGCUUGAUUAUUUGUUGAAGUAGCAAUAAUCGGCAAAGAAAACUCAUACUUCUUUCCUUGAGCAGAAAUUAAUACUAUACCGAUUCCUGCCCCCCGGUCAUAUGUAGAUCCAUCAAAGAAGAGCAUCCAAGGAAUAAUUUCUAAGGCAUUCACUACACCACUGUGUUGAGUUACAAAAUCGGCCAUAAUCUGCCUUUUAACUACUUUAGCCGAUUCGUAACGUAGAUCAAAUUCUGAUAAUGCCAAUAUCCUUUUGCCGAUUCUACCAUUCAUAAUCGGCUUCGAUAACAUAUACCGGACCACAUCAUCUUUGCAUAUAACAGUGCACUCGGCCGAUAAUAAAUAGUGUCUCAAUUUGAUAAAUGAAAAGUAUAAGCAUAAGCAUAGUUUUUCAAUUGCCAAAUACCUUGUCUCAGCAUCCACCAAUCUUCUAUUUAGAUAAUAAAUCACACGCUCCUUCCCUUCAAAUUCUUGAAUCAGUGCUGAACUGAUGACCAUCCCAUCGGUAGACAAAUAUAAUCUUAAAGGCUUUCCUUGUUGAGGUGGAAUCAAAACCGGAGGACUUGUCAGAUAAUUUUUGAUUUCAUCCAAUGCCAACUGUUGCUCUUUUCCCCACACAAAUUCUUGAUCGACUUUUAACUUAAACAAAGGACUAAAAGCACGAAUCUUACUAGACAAAUUAGAUAUAAAUCGUCUGAUGAAAUUUAUCUUGCUGAUCAGUGAUUGAAGUUUGGUUUUAUUGGUGGGAGCGACUAUCUUGUUGAUGGCAUAAAUAGACCUCCUACUAAUUUCAAUCCCUCUUUGAUGCACCAUGAAACCAAGAAAUUGUCCUACCGAUACACCAAAUGCACAUUUAUUAGGAUUCAUCUUUAAACCAUGCUUCCUUGUGCACUCUAACACCUUUCGCAGAUCGGCUAGAUGCUUUGUGAAAUCCCCAGACUUAACCACCACGUCAUCAAUAUAGAUUUCCACCAGCUUGCCGAUGAACUUAUGAAAGAUAAAAUUCAUAGCCCUCUGAUAAGUAGCACCAGCAUUCUUCAAAGCAAAGGUCAUGACUAUCCAUUCAAACAGUCCAACAUGACCAGGACAACUAAAUGCAGUCUUGGGAAUAUCCUCCUCAUCCAUAAAUAUUUGAUUGUAUCCUGCAUUGCCAUCAAUAAAGCUAAUGAUCCGAUGUCUAGCUGCAGCAUCAACCAACAAAUCGGCAACCAGCAUUGGAUAACCAUCUAUUGGCGUAGCCUUAUUGAGGUUCCUAAAGUCAAUGCAGACACGAAGUUUCCCAUUCUUCUUGUAAACGAGGACAACAUUGGAAAUCCAUUUGGCAUACCGACAUUGCCGAAUAAAUUUAGCUUGGAUAAGUUUAGUUAUUUCAGCCUUCAUGUUAGGAAGAAUAUUAGGAUUGCAUCGGCAUGCUGGCUACUGAUGCGGCCGAAACCCAGACUUGAUAGGCAACCGAUGUUCAAUGAUCGAUCGGUCUAAAUCAGGCAUCUCGAUAUAAUCCCAAGCAAAGCAAUCUUUAUAUUCCUUUAACAAAUCGGUUAACUGUUGCUUACACUUAGAAUCUAACUUAGCACUAAUAAAAGUAGGCCUUGGCCUAUCACCAUUACCUAUAUCUACCUCUACUAAAUCAUCGGCCGAUGUAAACCCCUGACCUAGUUUUCCAUUAUCGGCGAACCUAUCCAUUAAAACCCUUCAUCAGAACCGACUGCUUGGAUCGGUGGAAUUUCAUAAUCGGCAACUUUGAGAAAAUCCUUCUCCCAAACUUCUCCUAAAAUGCAUCUGGUCCUUUCAUAAGUAUCUGCCUCUACCGAUGCGAUGACAUACGACGAAUCUCCUGGGACAAUUUCAAUCUUGUCACCUACCCAUUGAACCAAGCACUGGUGCAUUGUAGAGGGGAUACAACAAUUGGCAUAAAUCAAGUGUCUCCCCAGUAGCAAAUUGUAGGCACCAUUUCCACUAAUGACAAAGAAAGUCGUCGGCAAGGUUUUGCUGCCGAUGGUCAAUUCAACACAUAUGGCUCCUUUGAUUGGAGACACAUUUCCUUCAAAAUCUUUCAACAUCAUAUAGGUCUUGGUCAAAUCCUGAUCCCCUUUGCCAAGCUUCCGAUAGACUGCGCAUGGCAUAAUGUUGAUAGCAGCUCCACCAUCAAUAAGUAUCUUGGUCAUCGGCUGCCCAUCAACCCUACCUUUGACAAAUAAAGCUUUAAGAUGUUGUCUUUCGUCAUCAGCGGGCUUUUCAAAGAUAGCUGUCAUCGGGUCAAGAGCCAACUGAGCUAUCUGAUCAGGGAAAUCUAUCUCCUCAUCAUCACUGAAAGGUGCAAGGAAUUCCAUCGGCAAUAUAAACACCAUAUUAACAUCUGCCGAUGGGCCUUUUCCCUGGGGUCUGACUCCUGCCGAUCUCCGAACUUAGCAGAAUUCUCUUCCCUGCUCAGUUCUUCUUGUCGCUCUCGCUGCAGCCUUCUUUUCUGUGUCCUUGUCAACCAUUCUGGACACCAUAGGGGAAGCUGUGUUCUCCUCACUGGUUGAUGACGAUUUUCCCUUGAUUCCACCCGAUAAGUAUUAGCAUCCCUACAAAAUAUGAACUCAUUGGGAACUCACGCAUCCACCAUCUCCUCAAGUUCCUCUUGGUUUCUGGGAAAAUAGCUGACACGUUCACCAAGCCUGUCAAGCACACUGAGUCUACCCCCCAGCCGAUCGUGAACUGAUGUCCUUCCUUUAAUCGGCCCAUCAAAACGCCGAUUAUCGUCUUGAUAUCGCCGAUUUGGUCUACCAUGCCGAUUAUAACCAUUGCACUCAGGGCAGUCUCUAACAGUUGGUAGCUUGAUGUUUUGCUCCCAACAGUGGAUGAAGAACGGGCAAUUCAAAUGAUCUUUAUGCCGAUUCCACUCUUGUCGGCGUCUUUCCUCCUCCCGGUGACGAUUUUCCUGCUGGCGACGAUACUGAUCUUCACGCUGCUGGCAUGUUUCCUGAUGUGUCCUAUGGGUAAUUACAAUGCUGGACCGAGGAGGCCUCCCUGAGCUGGUGCCUUCUUGGAUCAAGCCCUUACCCUUGGCAUCAUCGGCAGUGAUUUGGUGCUGAGGAUCCACCGAUGCCUCUUUUCAGCUGCUUCCGAAGUUAAGACUUUAGUCUUUCCCUUAGCAUCCUACAUAUUUGUGGGGAAAGGAUGCUGAUCGAUCUUCAUCAGCUUUUGAGCUUUGGAGCUAUCGAAUUUAAUCCUCCCAGACUCUAUAGCCGAUUGCAGCUGUUGUCUAAACACCUUGCAUUCAUUUGUACUAUAGGACGUUGCAUUAUGCCACUUGCAAUACUUGAUCGUCUUCAACUCUUCUACCUAUGGAAUCACAUGGUUGGGCGACAAUUUAAUCUGCCCCUCCUGAAGAAGAAAGUCAAAUAUCCUAUCGGCUUUUGUGGUGUCAAAAGCAAACUUUUUUGGCUCCUUAUGGCCAAAAGGACAGGACAUCGGCUUUUUGUUCUUCACCCAUUCUGCCAAACCGAUGACUGGUUCUUCAUCAGAAUCUAAACUUGUUGCCUCAUCAACAAAUGAUACCUUUUUAUUCCAAGCUUUCUUGGGUUCAAUAGCGUUGAUAUCUUGAUCAAAAAUUCUCUGCACCAAAUGACUUAGACUUUCAAACUCUUGAGACGCAUAUUUGUCUUUGAUAUGUGGCAACAAUCCCUGGAAAGCCAAAUUGGCUAGCUGCCGAUCGUCCAGAACCAGACUAUAGCACUUGUUCUUGACAUCCCGCAACCUUUGCACAAAACUUUCAACCGAUUAAUCAUUGUGUUGCCUCAACCUGACUAAAUCGGUAAUCUUUUUCUCAUGAACUCCAGAAAAGAAGUAUUUAUGAAACUGCUUCUCUAGAUCAGCCCAAGUAAUUACUGAAUUUGGAGGUAACGAAAUAAACCUAGUGAAGGCCGACCCGGAAAAAGAUGAUGAGAAUAAAUGAACUCUUAACUCAUCUCUGUUAGCAGCUUCUCCACACUGGAUGAUGAACGUAUUAACAUGUUCCAUAGUUGACGUGUCAUCUUGUCUAGAGAAUUUGGUGAAAUCUGGCACCUUGUACCGAUUUGGAAGCGGGAUGAAGUCAUACACAGGAGGAUACGGUGUCCGAUAAGAGUAAGUAUUGACCUUUGGUUUUAUUCCAAAUUGAUCUCUCAUAACUUCAGCUAUCUUAUCGACACAAUAUGCAUCUGCAUCUUGCCGAUGUACAGGUUGAGGUUCUCGCGCCUGCUGAUAAGCUUCCAUGUGCCUCUGAUGCGCACGAUCUCCCAAGAACAUAGCAAUAGCCACGGUGUGUUGGCCACUAGCCUGCUGAGCGAGAUUCAUCGGCUGAUUGAUUGGUCCUUGAUUCUGAAAACCAAGCUGCAUCUGUCCGUGCUGGAAUCUCGUAGCCUGAUGAUUCUGCUGAGCCAUUUGUGGAAAGACAAACUGUCAUGUCCAUCCAUUGUUAACAUUCAUCAGCAUAGGUCCUGCCUAUGGCUGAUAGUUGGGUAUCAUCAUUGGAUUGACAUACCCUCUCUGAGUCAUAAACCUUUGAUGUGUCGGCAUUGGAUCUGCCGAUGCGUUAGGUAUCUGGAAUGUCGGCAUCUGAGAAAUUCCAGUAAAAGGCCUUGCAGUAGUGGUUGUCGAAUAUUAAGGAUUCUGAGUCAUCGGCGACACUGGGGUGCUGAUGUCAUAGUAGCGUUGCCUGUCACGUCAUCCACUUGAGACGUCCCAGAACUAUUUGCACCAAAGUCCGAGGGCAUACCAUAUCCCUAGAACUAUUUGCACCAAACUGUCCUAUCCAUCCAUUGUCACGUCAGCCACUUGAGCCUUGCCUGUCACGUCAGCCACUUGACAGUUUUGGAAUACAGAUCCUGACAUUGCUGAUGCCAAUAGAUCUGUAGCAAGUUGAACUUGUCCCUCUGAUGUUGCUGGAUUAGUCCUCAUCGGUGUAGAUUGCCCAUUAGUCAUCCCUAAUGUGCUUGGAGGAAAUGUAACUUCCGUACCCACAACGGCUGGAGGAGCCGAUGGAGUCGUAACCGAUGAUGAUCCUGGCUGAUGAUAGGCCGGGCCCAUGUUGACGGUUCUUAAGUAUCAAUUUUAAUUAUCAAAUAAACAAGAGAAAGGACCAAUAUGCAACCAACACCUAGAAUUAGGGUUUGAUCUGACAGAAUUCCACGAGUUUUGUUGUUUAUCUAUUUCUGCAGGGGGUUAUCAGGAAAUAAGGAAGAAAGGCCCACAUGUCGGGAUUACAUAGAGAUAUCAACGCACCGCGUAAUUUUACAUCAUCUAGAAGACUCCAGAAGCCACGAGACCGAAGCGGAGGCGAAGCUAGGCCAGGCCCAGGGCGCCCGCCCUGGAAGCCUGGGCGCCCGCCCCCUGCUGGAGCCAAAUCAGGACUCUUUCGUUCGGGAUAUUCCACCGACCUAUUGGAUCAAGAAAAACAUAGUACCACCUCGGCUAUCGACCCAAAAACGCAUAGAAGGGGAGGACUAUAUAAGCAAGGCUCCCCUGGCCCCUGGAGAAGACAUGAAGAAAUUAUCAUAGAGACUGAGGGGUGCCCUCGAAGGAAAACCUCUUCUCUAAUUAAUAUUUCUUUUUAGGCUUAGCAAUCAAUGUAAGGUAGAAAUAGAUCUUCUAGUUUCUACUAGAUUGAGAGAGAUAGAGUGGAGGUGUAGAGUGGAGGAAGCCCGGCCUGUCGGUGUCUACUCCAAGCUUGUACCUGCGGGAUCAAGUUCUCCUAAUCCGAAGCUUGCUCCUAGGAUUCUUCAGUAAUUCGACUUCUAAAUUCUAGUAAGUUCUUGUUUUAUUGUUCUUAUGGUUUAUGAGUUUACUUUAAUCUCUUCGCGUAGAGUUUAGAGUAAUCAUUGCUGGCGUAAACGUGGUGUUUAGGCUGGGGUACUCAUAGAUAUUCCCUGACUAGCUGGACCGUGGUAGUAGUGAGGAACGUGACAAUUCCGAGCUACCUUUGUAGAUCACAUCUCGUUAGCAGGAAGGAUAGGGUUUAUAGGUGCGGGUCGAACAUCCUUUGUGGUGUCUAGAUUCUGUUAGCCUCCCCAUUAGAACAGUAGAUCAUCCUUACCAAGGUUAGAAGGAGACUACGGUUGCAGUCUUCUCUAUUUAUCACUCACAUCGAAAGACAUUCUUUGUGCCUAAAGGUUAGUAGUAAUAGACCGGUUAGUCAGAUGCACUCUUUCUCCUAGUGGUAAAAAAAAUAAAUACGAUACUCUGGAUAAUUUCCCGGGUGAAGUGCUCACCGAUAUCCAUGCGCUUGCGGAUCAAUUCCUUAUUGCGUUCCCAAAUAUCAACAAGCAUUUCUGGCGCCGUUGCCGGGGAGAAAGACGGUUGCUGAGAUAACCUGAGUCUUGCUACUAGCUUGUAUCUAUACUUUUAUCUUUUCUUAUCUUUUAUAUUCUUUAUUUAUUUUCUUUAUUCUUACCUUAUGGAAAACCAAAAUUCUAAAUCGAUCCAUGAGUCUGCAAUCCCUUUAGCAACUGACCUUUUACCAUGGGAAUCAUCACAGCCUAUCCAAACACCCCAGUAUAAGUUAAGUUCUAGGUUGAUUGCCAUGAUUCAAAACCUAUCUUUUUCGGGAAAGGAAGACGAAAACCCUUACCUUCAUAUUAGAGAUUUUGAGCAAACAUGUGAUUGUCUUCGCAUUGAAGGCAUUUCUGAUAAGACUUUAUGUUGGAAGCUUUUUCCUUUUUCUCUAAGGGGAGAAGCUAGACAAUGGUACAGUCAGAAGGUAAGUCAAAAACAAGGAGAAUGGGGAGUUUUACGAGCCAACUUUUGUCUAGAUUUCUAUUCCCUUGACCGUAUAGCCGACCUUAGACUCGAAGUCCUAUCUUUUAAACAAAAAGAUAAUGAAACUUUGGGAAAAUCCUGGAAACGUUUUUCUGAUCUUUUAGAAUCUGGUCCAAACCUUAAUCUUGAAGACCCUGUUCUUUUAUUUCACUUUUUUCGAGGUCUUCAUAAAAAUCACAAACAAAUGCUACACACAAUGUCUAGAGGUUCUUUCUUUCGCAUCCCUGCUGAUGAAGCAAGAGUGAUCCUAGAUAGAAUCCUAGAAGCUGAGAUGGAUAAUACCCUUCAUGAUGAAACCUACGAAGCCGAAGUAGACACUCUGCCAAAUUCUUCAUCUACUUUAGCUAUCCCAAGUUCUGAGCCACAAGAGGAAGAAAUUCCACUACCGGACUUCAUGCUGGAUAUAGAAUCCGAUCUUUUUGCCGAUUUUGGAAAUAUUUCAAACUACCAUUCUAUUGACAAACCCCAAAACGGCCAGUUUAGCAUUUAUUUACCAAGUGAAUAUCAAUUGAGAGAGCUUAUCUCAGUAAUGAGUAGCGAAUGGUUGGAGGAAUCAGAGCUUUCCUCUGAUGUGAUCCGUUUGGACACACCCUCUAUAACUAUACGCUGUGCUUAUAAUUCUGAUCGAUUUAAUGCUCUUUAUAAUCCUGUUGUGGGGAUCAACAUUAUGUCUGAAUCCUUUGCACUUAAACUAUUUAAAAAUCUUAUCUUAACCCCCACAACAAAGGUCAUAAAGGAAUCUUCGGGACGAUUAGUCCCCAGUCUUGGAAUUAUUAAUGUCCUACCUCUUACGGUAGAAGGCUCCAUGGUUCAUUUGAACAUUUAUAUCUUUGAUACAUGGGACUUCGACCUGUUGAUAGGACAACCUUUUAGAAGACUCCUUUAUGAAGGUCAUACUGGAAAGCUACACAUUUCUUUUGGAAAAACUUUUAAAUUCCCAAUAAUAAUUUCACACUCCUUAAAUAAUAAGGCUGAGUCAUAUCUUUUGCCUGAUCCUAUGGAGGAAGUAAAGGCUGCAUCUCUAGAGCUUUUAGAUGAACCAGACUUAGAAGACGAAACUCCUUUCUUCACAGAAGAAGAAGACGAACCUUCCGAGCCUGAACCCUUAGAUGAGUUUGCAGAAACACCUAGACCCCCCAUAGAACUUAAAACUUUACCACCCGGUCUUACCUAUGCUUUCCUAAACAAUAAUCCAGAGUUCUCUGUGAUCAUUAGCGAUAAACUCACUCAGGAUCAAACUCUGCGAUUAAUGACCAUUCUUGAGAAACAUCACUCGGUUUUUGGCUACUCACUUCAAGAUCUUACAGGAAUCAGUCCUAUGAUUUGUACCCAUCGUAUUCCAACAGAUCCUUCUGUUACACCCUCUCAAGAACCCCAACGUAGACUUAACAACACUAUGAGAGAGGUAGUUAAAAAGGAAGUUAUUAAGUUGCUGCAUGCAGGGAUUAUAUAUCCUGUGCCGCACAAUGAGUGGGUGAGCCCAGUCCAAGUUGUGCCCAAAAAGGGAGGCAUGACAGUUAUUAUGAAUGAAAAGAACGAGCUAAUUCCGCAACGCACCGUCACAGGAUGGCGGAUGUGCAUAGACUUUUGAAAACUAAACAAAGCCACGAGAAAAGAUCACUUUCCCUUACCUUUUAUAGAUGAGAUGCUAGAGCGGUUAGCAAACCAUUCAUUCUUUUGUUUCUUAGAUGGAUAUUCAGGGUAUCAUCAAAUCCCGAUCCAUCCCGAUGAUCAAAGCAAAACCACUUUUACAUGCCCUUAUGGAACUUAUGCUUAUCGUAGAAUGUCUUUUGGGUUAUGUAAUGCACCAACUUCUUUUCAAAUGUCUAUAUUUUCUGAUAUGAUUGAAGAGAUUAUGGAAGUUUUCAUGGAUGAUUUCUCUGUUUAUGGAAAAACUUUUGAUAGUUGUCUUGAAAACUUAGAUAUGGUUUUGCAAAGAUGUGAAGAAAAGCACUCAAUCCUUAAUUGGGAAAAAUGUCAUUUUAUGGUUAGGGAAGGAAUAGUGCUAGGACACUUAGUGUCUGAAAGAGGGAUUGAGGUAGACAAAGCUAAAAUUGAAGUAAUUGAACAACUACCUCCACCUGUGAAUAUAAAAGGAAUUCGAAGCUUUCUUGGCCAUGCUGGUUUUUAUCGUAGAUUCAUAAAAGAUUUUUCAUUCAUUCCUAGACCACUUACUCUUUUGCUAGCCAAGGAUGCUCCUUUCGAAUUUGAUGAUGCAUGUCUAACAUCUUUCAAUUUAUUAAAGAAAGCACUCAUCUCUGCACCAAUCAUUCAACCCCCUGAUUGGUCGUUACCUUUUGAAAUUAUGUGUGAUGCUAGUGAUUAUGCUGUGGGGGCAGUAUUGGGACAAACUAAAGAUAAGAAGCAUCAUGCAAUUGCUUAUGCCAGUAAAACUUUGACAGGAGCUCAACUUAAUUAUGCAACCACUAAAAAAGAGCUUCUGGCUGUUGUCUUUGCCAUUGAUAAAUUUAGAUCUUAUUUAGUUGGAGCUAAAAUAAUUGUUUACACUGAUCAUGCUGCACUAAAAUAUUUGCUCACUAAAAAAGAUGCUAAACCUCGCCUGAUUAGAUGGAUCUUAUUACUCCAAUAAUUUGACUUAGAAAUAAAAGAUAAAAAAGGAGUAGAAAAUUCUGUUGCUGAUCACUUGUCUAGAAUGUAUUUUAAGAGUCCACAGGAAACCCCCAUCAAUGAUUCACUCCGGGACGACAUGCUCUACGGGAUUAACAGGUCUGACCCCUGGUAUGCAGAUAUUGUUAAUUUUAUGGUUUCAGGGUAUGUACCACCAGGAGCAAACAAGAAGAAGCUUAUUCAAGAAAGUCGUUCACAUAUAUGGGAUGAGCCAUACCUCUUCCGAGUAUGCUCUGAUGGCUUACUCAGGAGAUGUGUGACCACUGAGGAAGGAUGGAAGAUCAUCGACAGAUGUCAUUCAUCACCAUAUGGAGGUCACUAUGGAGCAUUCCGUACACAUUCAAAGAUCUGGCAGUGUGGAUUCUACUGGCCUACAAUGUAUGAAGACACGAAGCAAUAUAUCAGGAGAUGUGGGCCAUGUCAAAGGCACGGAAACAUAAAUACAAGGGAUGCAAUGCCACUCACCACCAACCUUCAGAUUGAGCUCUUCGAUGUCUGGGGAAUAGACUACAUGGGUCCAUUUCCUCCAUCAAAGAAGUGCGAGUACAUCUUGGUGGCGGUUGACUAUGUCUCCAAGUGGGUAGAGGCAUUACCUUGCAAGCAUGCCGACAACGUCAGUUCAAAGAGGAUGUUUGAAGAAAUUAUAUUUCCAAGAUUUGGAGUUCCCAGAGUAGUGAUAAGUGAUGGAGGAGCACACUUCAUCGACAAACGCUUCAAGCAAUAUCUAUCAAGACAUGGAAUCCGUCACAACGUCGCUACCCCCUAUCAUCCUCAGACAAGUGGCCAAGCAGAGACUUCCAACAAACAAAUCAAGAAUAUUCUUCAAAAGACAGUAAAUGAAAUGGGAACGGCGUGGAAAGACAAGUUACCCGAUGCACUCUGGGCAUACCGGACAGCAUACAAGACCCCAAUUGGAAUGUCUCCAUACCAUUUGGUGUACGGGAAGACUUGCCAUCUACCUGUUGAACUAGAGUUCAAAGCACACUAGGCCAUAAAGAGAUGGAAUAUGGACCUAGAUGUUGCUGGAGAUUAUAGAAGAAUGCAACUAUCAGAAUUGGAAGAAUGGCGAGAGAAGGCAUAUCACAAUUCAAAAAUCUACAAAGAAAGAGUCAAGAGGUGGCAUGACAAGAGAAUCAAGAAGAAGGAGUUCACACCCGGAGAUAAGGUAUUACUUUUUAAUUCCAGGGUAAAGCUUUUCGGGCAUGGAAAACUCCAGAGCAAAUGGGAAGGACCAUUCAAGGUAAUCAAUUCAUCAUCCCACGGAGCUAUCACACUUCAAAAUAGCGAAGGUACGUUAUUCAAGGUAAAUGGUCAACGUCUUAAAUUAUUUUUAGAGCCCAAUGAGGAAUUUGAAGAAAUAGACGUAGUCCAUUUUUACCUUCCCAUAGAAAAUUAGAGCCCGACACUUUUGGUCUGAUGGUUUUGGGGCAUAUAUAUAUUUUUCUAAAUAAUUUCGCAUCUAGAAACGCGCUCGGAAAAGUGGGCCCACAGAGGGGCUAGAGAGAGGGCGGGCGCCCAGGUCAAGUGGGCGGGCGCCCAGCCCCUGUUCCCCCUCGGUCCCGACUUUCUCUGUUAUGGAAAAUGCACUUAGGGUGAUCCGAAUAAUCCCUCGGAUGGAAAGUUUCGCACGCACAUCGACGGGAGCAACCCGAACAACCCAUAGAGGCAUCCUUUUGACCCCUAUAUAAACAGACCCCUGACCUCAGUUUUCAGACACCAAGCCACCAAGCUUUCUCUCCUUCAAUUAGAGCUUAAUUAGCUCUACUUCAAUUAAAAUUUUAUUAGUUCCUUGCUACUCCAAUGGCCGACAAGUACCACGACGAUUGGGAAGUCGUCCCCUUCAACCUCAACAUGGAGCCAGUGGAAGACCCCGAUGCCCGUGCUCUCGUCCUGGCCAACACAGAGCGUCAGCUAGAAGCCAUGCCAUUACGCCAACGCAGCUCCGCCCAAUCUUACCAUGCUCAACCAGUUCUCACCGCACCACCACAACCCCUACUCCUCAAAGGACCAUCAUCCAAGACAAAGACCACUAUCAAGGUACCAAUCGGCACAAGGAUCCUUCCACCUAGACCCAAUGAGAGGGUCGUUGGAGUCAAGACCAACCGGAGCGUCGAGAUCAGCAGCGUUCGCUACACUACGGAGGAGGAAAGGCCUUACUUUGAAGGGAUUAGAGCAUCCAAAGUCCGUUUCAUCCCUCCAAAGGCAGCCCCGAAGCACGCUCUCAAUGCUUUUGAGACACCUCCCAAGCGUCGCAAGACUAUAAUGUAUAUUGAUGAGGAAGUUCGCAGGCUAGAUAAAGUUAUCAUAGACCUCCAGUCCUCGAUUAAUUCCCUCACUAGGCAGCUCUCUAACCACAACACCAUUAUACUAGGCCUUAGGCAGGAUCUUGCCAGUGCCAACAAGAAGAUCAAGGAAUUAGAGCGCCGUUAAGUUAUCUAGAUUAGACCUUGAGGCAAUGCAUUUUAGUUAUCUAUCUUUAAAUUUGGUUUAGAUUUACUAUUAUCAUCAGUUUGUUAUCAGUCUUUUGUACUAAAUGCCUCAAGAUCAAUAAAGAGUAUUACUAUUAUUAUUAUUAUGUCUUGUGUGUCUCUACUUUAUUUUUGUGCAAGAAAGCAGAAAACAAGUAUGGGGGAGAUCCCUCAACAUGCCAAACACACUCCGACUACACCACUCCACGAUUCAGGUACACACUCUGCACACUUUACUUCAUACAUACAUUUAUUUUGGAUUAUGCAGAUUACUGUUUCCGACAUGAUAAAAUAAAAAGAUUAAAAUAUUUCUAAUCAUGAUUAAUCUCAAUCUGUGAUAUUUCCUGAAAACUUGCAAUUAUUAUAAAAUCAUUUUAAAACCCUGUGUUACUUAAGUCAAUAUGGAAUAUGUGAUGGUAGAGUAUGAGUUUCUUAUUCUUGAUAUCAUUGUUUCUUGGAGAAUUUGUUUCAAAAUAUUCAAAAUUCUAGCUACCAUCCUCAGUGUUUUAUAUGCCUGAUAAAAAUAAAAAUAUUAAUGAUGAUUAUAAAGCUAUCUACUCUGUAUUGAGUUUGUUCAAAAUGAGUUAGACCCUUGUUGAGAGAUUUAUCGUGCUCCCAAGAUCAAGACACUAUUUCAGUAAGAUUCACUCUUCCGAAGUAUUAUUGCAUUAGAGGCAUGGGCUAUGCAAAAAUAGAGAUAUUUCGAGGAAAUAAAAAGGAGCAAGUGCUCGACAACCUCACAGAAAAAAUGGACAAGUGUCCGGCAGUAGAAUUAGGGGUACCUCGGUAUCCACUUAAAAAAAUGAAAUGAAAAUGAUAGCCCAUGGUCCCUCUAAUAAGCAAUAUGCCAGCAAGAGAUGACAAAGUUUUUAAUUUCCAAAGUCUUUGAUCUAAGAGUGACAUUCCCCUCCUCGGAUCCCGUUUUGAUCAGGCAACAAAUGCAAAGUAAGAAUGCUUGAGAAUUUUUUGCAAAAUAAAACAACCUCAGUGAGAUAUAUAAAAGAUAAUGAGUGAUCUGAGAGAACCUAUGAGGAUAAAAAGGUAUGCUAACUGUUGAUAUUUGGGAAUGCAAUAAGGAAUUGAUCCGCAAGCGCACGGAUAUUGGUGAGCACUUCACCCGGGAGGUUAUCCAGAGUAUCGUAUUUAUUUUUUUACCACUAGGAGAAAGAGUGCAUCUGACUAACCGGUCUAUUACUACUAACCUUUAGGCACAAAGAAUGUCUUUCGAUGUGAGUGAUAAAUAGAGAAGACUGCAACCGUAGUCUCCUUCUAACCUUGGUAAGGAUGAUCUACUGCUCUAAUGGGGAGGCUAACGGAAUCUAGACACCACAAAGGAUGUUCAACCCGCACCUAUAAACCCUAUCCUUCCUGCUAACGAGAUGUGAUCUACAAAGGUAGCUCGGAAAUGUCACGUUCCUCACUACUACCACGGUCCAGCUAGUCAGGGAAUAUCUAUGAGUACCCCAGCCUAAACACCACGUUUACGCCAGCAAUGAUUACUCUAAACUCUACGCGAAGAGAUUAAAGUAAACUCAUAAACCAUAAGAACAAUAAAACUAGAACUUACUAGAAUUUAGAAGUUGAAUUACUGAAGAAUCCUAGAAGCAAGCUUCGGGUUAGGAGAACUUGAGCCCGCAGGUACAAGCUUGGAGUAGACACCGACAGGCCGGGCUUCCUCCACUCUACACCUCCACUCUAUCUCUCUCAAUCUAGUAGAAACUAGAAGAUCUAUUUCUACCUUACAUUGAUUGCUAAGCCUAAAAAGAAAUAUUAAUUAGAGAAGAGGUUUUCCUUCGAGGGCACCCCUCAGUCUCUAUGAUAAUUUCUUCUCCAGGGGCUAGGGGCCUUGCUUAUAUAGUCCUCCCCUUCUAUGCGUUUUUGGGUGGAUAGGCGAGGUGGUACUAUGUUUUCCUUGAUCCAAUAGGUCGGUGGAAUAUCCCGAGCGAAGGAGUCCUGAUUUGGCACCAGCAGGGGGGCGGGCGCCCAGGCUACCAGGGCGGGCGCCCUGGGCCUGGCCUAGUUUUGCCUCCGCUUCGGUCUCGUGGCUUCUGGAGUCUUCUAGAUGAUGUAAAAUUGCGCGGUGCGUUGAUAUCUCUAUGUAAUCCCGACAUGUGGGCCUUUCUUCCUUAUUUCCUGAUAACCCCCUGCAGAAACAGAUAAACAACAAAACUCGUGGAAUUCUGUCAGAUCAAACCCUAAUUCUAGGUGUUGUUUGCAUAUUGGUCCUUUCUCUUGUUUAUUUGAUAAUUAAAAUUGAUACUUAAGAACCGUCAACAAAUACCCCCAUACUUAGGCUUUUACUCGUCCUCGAGAAAAGGAUGGUUAUGAAAAAUAUCUGGGGUAAACAUUUAAAACAUUCUCUUUAUAGUUGCAGGGUGUUAAAAAUUCCACUGUGUACCAUAGUCAGGGAAGUGUAUGAUUAAGAGUAAAGAUCCUUUCUUCUCAAUCCUGUCACUUGGAGUUUUUUUUUGUAUAUUUUUUUGAAAGAAAGUUAGCAUACCUUUUUAUCCUCAUAGGUUCUCCCAGAUCACUCAUUAUCUUUUAUAUAUCUCACUGAGGCUGUUUUAAUUUUGCAAAAAUUCUCAAGCAUUCUUACUUUGCAUUUAUUGCUUGAUCAAAACGGGAUCCGAGGAGGGGAAUGUCAUACUCUUAGAUCAAAGACUUUAGAAAUUAAGAACUUUGUCAACUCUUGCUGGCAUAUUGAUUAUUAGAGGGACCAUGGGCUAUCAUUUUUUUAAGUGGAUACCGAGGUACCCCUAAUUCUACUGCCGGACACUUGUCCAUUUUUUUCUGCGAGGUUGUCGAGCACUUGCUCCUUUUUAUUUCCUCGAAAUAUCUUAUUUUUGAAUAGCCCAUGCCUCUAAUGCAAUAAUACUUCGGAAGAGUGAAUCUUACUGAAAUAGUGUGUUGAUCUUGGGAGCAUGAUAAAUCUCUCAACAAGGGUCUAACUCAUUUUGAACAAACCCAAUACGGAGUAGAUAGCUUUUAUAAUCAUAAUUAAUAUUUUAGUUUUAUCAGGCAUAUAAAACACUGAGGAUGGUAGCUAGAAUUUUGAACAUUUUGAAAUAAAUUCUCCAAGCAACAAUGAUAUCAAGAAUAAGAAACUCAUACUCUACCAUCACAUAUUCCAUAUUGACUUAAGUAACACAGGGUUUUAAAAUGAUUUUAUACUAAUUGCGAGUUUUCAGGAAAUAUCACAGAUUGAGAUUAAUCAUGAUUAGAAAUAUUUUAAUCCUUUUAUUUUAUCAUGUCAGAAACAGUAAUCUGCAUAGUCCAGAAUAAAUGUAUGUGUAAAGUAAAGUGCACAGAGUGUGUACCUGAAUCGUGGAGUGGUGUAGUCGGAGUGUGUUUAGCAUGUUGAGGGAUCUCCCCCAUACUUGUUUUCUGCUUUCUUGCACAAAAGUAAAGUAGAGACACACAAGACAUAAUAAUAAUAGUAAUACUCUUUAUUGAACUUGAGGCAUUUAUUACAGAAGACUGAUAGCAAACUGAUAGCAAACUUAAACUGAAUUUAAAGAUAGAUAACUAAGAUGCAUUGCCUCAAGGUCUAAUCUAGAUAAAUUAGCGGCGCUCUAAUUCCUUGAUCUUCUUGUUGGCACUGGUAAGAUCCUGCCUAAGGCCUAGUAUAAUGGUGUUGUGGUUAGAGAGCUGCCUAGUGAGGGAAUUAAUUGAGGACUGGAGGUCUAUGAUAACUCUAUCUAGCCUGCGAAGUUCCUCAUCAAUAUCCAUUAUAGUCUUGCGACGCUUGGGAGGUGUCUCAAAAGCAUUGAGAGAGUGCUUCGGGGCUGCCUUUGGAGGGAUGAAACGGACUUUGGCUGCUCUAAUCCCUUCAAAGUAAGGCCUUUCCUCCUCUGUAGUGAAGUGUACACUGCUGAUCUCGCCGCUCUGGUUGGUCUUGACUCCAACGACCCUCUCAUUGGAUCUAGGUGGAAGAAUCCUUAUGCCGAUUGGCACCUUGAUAGUGGUCUUCGUCUUCGAUGAUGAUCCUGUGAGGAGUAGGGGUUGUGGUGGUGCGGUGAGAACUGGUUGAGCAUGGUAAGAUUGGGCAGAGCUGCGUUGGCGUAAUGGUAUGGCUUCUAGCUGACGCUCUGUGUUGGCCGGGACGAGAGCACGGGCAUCGGGGUCUUCCACUGGCUCCAUGUUGAGGUUGAAGGGGACGACUUCCCAAUCAUCGUGGUACUUCUCGGCCAUUGGAGUAGCAAGGAACUAAUAAAAUUUUAAUUGAAGGAGAGCUAAUUAAGCUCUAAUUGAAGGAGAGAAAGCUUGAUGGCUUGGUGUUUGAAAACUGAGGUCAGGGGUCUGUUUAUAUAGGGGUCAAAAGGAUGCCUCUAUGGGUUGUUCGGGUUGCUCCCGUCGAUGUGCGUGCGAAACUUUCCAUCCGAGGGAUUAUUCGGAUCAACCUAAGUGCAUUUUCCAUAACAGAGAAAGUCGGGACCGAGGGGGAACAGGGGCUGGGCGCCCGCCCACUUGACUUGGGCGCCCGCCCUCUCUCUGGCCCCUCUGUGGGCCCACUUCUCCGAGCGCGUUUCUAGAUGCGAAAUUAUUUAGAAAAAUAUAUAUGCCCCAAAACCAUCAGACCAAAAGUGUCGGGCUCUAAUUUUCCAUAGGAAGGUAAAAAUGGACUACGUCUAUUUCUUCUAAUUCCUCAUUGGGCUCUAAAAAAUAAUUUCAGACGUUGACCAUUUACCUUGAAUAACGUACCUUCGCUAUUUUGAAGUGUGAUAGCUCCGUGGGAUGAUGAAUUAAUUACCUUGAAUGGUCCUUCCCAUUUGCUUCGGAGUUUUCCAUGCCCGAAAAGCUUCACCCUGGAAUUAAAAAGUAAUACCUUAUCUCCGGGUGUGAACUCCUUCUUCUUGAUUCUCUUGUCAUGCCACCUCUUGACUCUUUCUUUGUAGAUCUUUGAAUUGUGAUAUGCCUUCUCUCGCCAUUCUUCCAAUUCUGAUAGUUGCAUUCUUCUAUAAUCUCCAGCAAGAUCUAGGUCCAUAUUCCAUCUCUUUAUGGCCCAGUGUGCUUUGAACUCUAGUUCAACAGGUAGAUGGCAAGUCUUCCCGUAUACCAAUUGGUAUGGAGACAUCCCAAUUGGGGUCUUGUAUGCUGUCCGGUAUGCCUAGAGUGCAUCAGGUAACUUGUCUUUCCACGCCGUUCCCAUUUCAUUUACUGUCUUUUGAAGAAUAUUCUUGAUUUGUUUGUUGGAAGUCUCUGCUUGGCCACUUGUCUGAGGAUGAUAGGGGGUAGCGACGUUGUGACGGAUUCCAUGUCUUGAUAGAUAUUGCUUGAAGCGUUUGUCGAUGAAGUGUGCUCCUCCAUCACUUAUCACUACUCUGGGAACUCCAAAUCUUGGAAAUAUAAUUUCUUCAAACAUCCUCUUUGAACUGACGUUGUCGGCAUGCUUGCAAGGUAAUGCUUCUACCCACUUGGAGACAUAGUCAACUGCCACCAAGAUGUACUCGCACUUCUUGGAUGGAGGAAAUGGACCCAUGUAGUCUAUUCCCCAGACAUCAAAGAGCUCAAUCUGAAUGUUGUUGGUGAGUGGCAUUGCAUCCCUUGUAUUUAUGUUUCCGUGCCUUUGACAUGGCCCACAUCUUCUGAUAUAUUGCUUCGUGUCUUCAUACAUUGUAGGCCAAUAGAAUCCACACUGCCAGAUCUUUGAAUGUGUACGGAAUGCUCCAUAAUGACCUCCAUAUGGUGAUGAAUGACAUCUGUCGAUGAUCUUCCAUCCUUCCUCAGUGGUCACACAUCUCCUGAGUAAGCCAUCAGAGCAUACUCGGAAAAGGUAUGGCUCAUCCCAUAUAUGUGAACGACUUUCUUGAGUAAGCUUCUUCUUGUUUGCUCGUGGUGGUACAUACCCUGAAACCAUAAAAUUAACAAUAUCUGCAUACCAGGGGUCAGACCUGUUAAUCCCGUAGAGCAUGUCGUCCCGGAGUGAAUCAUUGAUGGGGGUUUCCUGUGGACUCUUAAAAUACAUUCUAGACAAGUGAUCAACAACAGAAUUUUCUACUCCUUUUUUAUCUUUUAUUUCUAAGUCAAAUUCUUGGAGUAAUAAGAUCCAUCUAAUCAGGCGAGGUUUAGCAUCUUUUUUAGUGAGCAAAUAUUUUAAUGCAGCAUGAUCAGUGUAAACAAUUAUUUUAGCUCCAACUAAAUAAGAUCUAAAUUUAUCAAUGGCAAAGACAACAGCCAGAAGCUCUUUUUCAGUGGUUGCAUAAUUAAGUUGAGCUCCUGUCAAAGUUUUACUGGCAUAAGCAAUUGCAUGAUGCUUCUUAUUUUUAGUUUGUCCUAAUACUUCCCCCACAGCAUAAUCACUAGCAUCACACAUAAUUUCAAAAGGCAACGACCAAUCAGGGGGUUGAAUGAUUGGUGCAGAGAUGAGUGCUUUCUUUAAUAAAUUGAAAGAUGUUAGACAUGCAUCAUCAAAUUCGAAAGGAGCAUCCUUGGCUAGCAAAAGAGUAAGUGAUCUAGCAAUAAAUGAAAAAUCUUUUAUGAAUCUACGAUAAAAACCAGCAUGGCCAAGAAAGCUUCGAAUUCCUUUUAUGUUCACAGGUGGAGGUAGUUGUUCAAUUACUUCAAUUUUAGCUUUGUCUACCUCAAUACCUCUUUCAGACACUAAGUGUCCUAGCACUAUUCCUUCCCUAACCAUAAAAUGACAUUUUUCCCAAUUAAGGAUUAAGUGCUUUUCUUCACAUCUUUGCAAAACCUUGUCUAAGUUUUCAAGACAACUAUCAAAAGUUUUUCCAUAAACAGAAAAAUCAUCCAUGAAAACUUGAAGUGAGUAGCUGAAAACUGAGUGAUGUUUCUCAAGAAUGGUCAUUAAUUGCAGAGUUUGAUCCUGAGUGAGUUUAUCGCUAAUGAUCACAGGGAACUCUAGAUUAUUGUUUAGGAAAGCAUAGGUAAGACCGGGUGGUAAAGUUUUAAGUUCUAUGGGGGGUCUAGGUGUUUCUGCAAACUCAUCUAAGGGUUCAGGCUCGGAAGGUUCGUCUUCUUCUUCUGUGAAGAAAGGAGUUUCGUCUUCUAAGUCUGGUUCAUCUAAAAGCUCUAGAGAUGUAGCCUUUACUUCCUCCAUAGGAUCAGGCAAAAGAUAUGACUCAGCCUUAUUAUUUAAGGAGUGUGAAAUUAUUAUUGGGAAUUUAAAAGUUUUUCCAAAAGAAAUGUGUAGCUUUCCAGUAUGACCUUCAUAAAGGAGUCUUCUAAAAGGUUGUCCUAUCAACAGGUCGAAGUCCCAUGUAUCAAAGAUAUAAAUGUUCAAAUGAACCAUGGAGCCUUCUACCGUAAGAGGUAGGACAUUAAUAAUUCCAAGACUGGGGACUAAUCGUCCCGAAGAUUCCUUUAUGACCUUUGUUGUGGGGGUUAAGAUAAGAUUUUUAAAUAGUUUAAGUGCAAAGGAUUCAGACAUAAUGUUGAUCCCCACAACAGGAUUAUAAAGAGCAUUAAAUCGAUCAGAAUUAUAAGCACAGCGUAUAGUUAUAGAGGGUGUGUCCAAACGGAUCACAUCAGAGGAAAGCUCUGAUUCCUCCAACCAUUCGCUACUCAUUACUGAGAUAAGCUCUCUCAAUUGAUAUUCACUUGGUAAAUAAAUGCUAAACUGGCCGUUUUGGGGUUUGUCAAUAGAAUGGUAGUUUGAAAUAUUUCCAAAAUCGGCAAAAAGAUCGGAUUCUAUAUCCAGCAUGAAGUCCGGUAGUGGAAUUUCUUCCUCUUGUGGCUCAGAACUUGGGAUAGCUAAAGUAGAUGAAGAAUUUGGCAGAGUGUCUACUUCGGCUUCGUAGGUUUCAUCAUGAAGGGUAUUAUCCAUCUCAGCUUCUAGGAUUCUAUCUAGGAUCACUCUUGCUUCAUCAGCAGGGAUGCGAAAGAAAGAACCUCUAGACAUUGUGUGCAGCAUUUGUUUGUGAUUUUUCUGAAGACCUCGAAAAAAGUGAAAUAAAAGAACAGGGUCUUCAAGAUUAAGGUUUGGACCAGAUUCUAAAAGAUCAGAAAAACGUUUCCAGGAUUUUCCCAAAGUUUCAUUAUCUUUUUGUUUAAAAGAUAGGACUUCGAGUCUAAGGUCGGCUAUACGGUCAAGGGAAUAGAAAUCUAGACAAAAGUUGGCUCGUAAAACUCCCCAUUCACCUUGUUGUUGACUUACCUUCUGAUUGUACCAUUGUCUAGCUUCUCCCCUUAGAGAAAAAGGAAAAAGCUUCCAACGUAAAGUUUUAUCAGAAAUGCCUUCAAUGCGAAGACAAUCACAUGUUUGCUCAAAAUCUCUAAUAUGAAGGUAAGGGUUUUCGUCUUCCUUUCCCGAAAAAGAUAAGUUUUGAAUCAUGGCAAUCAACCUAGAACUUAACUUAUACUGGGGUGUUUGCAUAGGCUGUGAUGAUUCCCAUGGUAAAAGGUUAGUUGCUAAAGGGAUUGCAGACUCAUGGAUCGAUUUAGAAUUUUGGUUUUCCAUAAGGUAAGAGUAAAGAAAAAUAAAUAAAGAAUAUAAAAGAUAAGAAAAGAUAAAAGUAUAGAUACAAGCUAAUAGCAAGACACAUGUUAUCUCAGCAACCAUCUUUCUCCCCGGCAACGGCGCUAGAAAUGCUUGUUGAUAUUUGGGAACGCAAUAAGGAAUUGAUCCGCAAGCGCACGGAUAUCGGUGAGCACUUCACCCGGGAGGUUAUCCAGAGUAUCGUAUUUAUUUUUUUACCACUAGGAGAAAGAGUGCAUCUGACUAACUGGUCUAUUACUACUAUCCUUUAGGCACAAAGAAUGUCUUUCGAUGUGAGUGAUAAAUAGAGAAGACUGCAACCGUAGUCUCCUUCUAACCUUGGUAAGGAUGAUCUACUGCUCUAAUGGGGAGGCUAACAGAAUCUAGACACCACAAAGGAUGUUCAACCCGCACCUAUAAACCCUAUCCUUCCUACUAACGAGAUGUGAUCUACAAAGGUAGCUCGGAAAUGUCACGUUCCUCACUACUACCACGGUCCAGCUAGUCAGGGAAUAUCUAUGAGUACCCCAGCCUAAACACCACGUUUACGCCAGCAAUGAUUACUCUAAACUCUACGCGAAGAGAUUAAAGUAAACUCACAAACCAUAAGAACAAUAAAACAAGAACUUACUAGAAUUUAGAAGUUGAAUUACUGAAGAAUCCUAGGAGCAAGCUUCGGGUUAGGAGAACUUGAUCCCGCAGGUACAAGCUUGGAGUAGACACCGACAGGCCGGGCUUCCUCCACUCUACACCUCCACUCUAUCUCUCUCAAUCUAGUAGAAACUAGAAGAUCUAUUUCUACCUUACAUUGAUUGCUAAGCCUAAAAAGAAAUAUUAAUUAGAGAAGAGGUUUUCCUUCGAGGGCACCCCUCAGUCUCUAUGAUAAUUUCUUCAUGUCUUCUCCAGGGGCCAGGGGCCUUGCUUAUAUAGUCCUCCCCUUCUAUGCGUUUUUGGGUUGAUAGGCGAGGUGGUACUAUGUUUUUCUUGAUCCAAUAGGUCGGUGGAAUAUCCCGAGCGAAGGAGUCCUGAUUUGGCUCCAGCAGGGGGGCGGGCGCCCAGGCUACCAGGGCGGGCGCCCUGGGCCUGGCCCAGUUUGGCCUCCGCUUCGGUCUCGUGGCUUCUGGAGUCUUCUAGAUAAUGUAAAAUUGCGCGGNNNNNNNNNNNNNNNNNNNNNNNNNNNNNNNNNNNNNNNNNNNNNNNNNNNNNNNNNNNNNNNNNNNNNNNNNNNNNNNNNNNNNNNNNNNNNNNNNNNNAAUAUAGGAGUAUUAGUUGACAGAUCUUAAGUACCAAUUUUAAUUAUCAAAUAAACAAGAGAAAGGACCAAUAUGCAACCAACACCUAGAAUUAGGGUUUGAUCUGACAGAAUUCCCGAGUUUUGUUGUUUAUCUAUUUCUGCAGGGGGUUAUCAGGAAAUAAGGAAGAAGGGACCACAUGUCGGGAUUACAUAGAGAUAUCAACGCACCGCGUAAUUUUACAUCAUCUAGAAGACUCCAGAAGCCACGAGACCGAAGCGGAGGCGAAGCUGGGCCAGGCCCAGGGCGCCCGCCCUGGAAGCCUGGGCGCCCGCCCCCCUGCUGGAGCCAAAUCAGGACUCUUUCGUUCGGGAUAUUCCACCGACCUAUUGGAUCAAGAAAAACAUAGUACCACCUCGGCUAUCGACCAAAAAACGCAUAGAAGGGGAGGACUAUAUAAGCAAGGCCCCCCUGGCCCCUGGAGAGGACAUGAAGAAAUUAUCAUAGAGACUGAUGGGUGCCCUCGAAGGAAAACCUCUUCUCUAAUUAAUAUUUCUUUUUAGGCUUAGCAAUCAAUGUAAGGUAGAAAUAGAUCUUCUAGUUUCUACUAGAUUGAGAGAGAUAGAGUGGAGGUGUAGAGUGGAGGAAGCCCGGCCUGUCGGUGUCUACUCCAAGCUUGUACCUGCGGGAUCAAGUUCUCCUAACCCGAAGCUUGCUCCUAGGAUUCUUCAGUAAUUCGACUUCUAAAUUCUAGUAAGUUCUUGUUUUAUUGUUCUUAUGGUUUAUGAGUUUACUUUAAUCUCUUCGCGUAGAGUUUAGAGUAAUCAUUGCUGGCGUAAACGUGGUGUUUAGGCUGGGGUACUCAUAGAUAUUCCCUGACUAGCUGGACCGUGGUAGUAGUGAGGAACGUGACAAUUCCGAGCUACCUUUGUAGAUCACAUCUCGUUAGGAGGAAGGAUAGGGUUUAUAGGUGCGGGUCGAACAUCCUUUGUGGUGUCUAGAUUCUGUUAGCCUCCCCAUUAGAACAGUAGAUCAUCCUUACCAAGGUUAGAAGGAGACUACGGUUGCAGUCUUCUCUAUUUAUCACUCACAUCGAAAGACAUUCUUUGUGCCUAAAGGUUAGUAGUAAUAGACCGGUUAGUCAGAUGCACUCUUUCUCCUAGUGGUAAAAAAAAUAAAUACGAUACUCUGGAUAAUUUCCCGGGUGAAGUGCUCACCGAUAUCCGUGCGCUUGCGGAUCAAUUCCUUAUUGCGUUCCCAAAUAUCAACAGCCCACAUAAGAUGGUGGUAUUUGUCCCUCUUUGAAGGUUCUAGCCACAACAUUGAAAAUUGUAUUGGACAGCACACUGGAUCGAUUGAUUAAAGCAUGAUUAAUAGCAUUGUCUACCAUAUCUUGCAAUUUACCAGGAUUAGCUUCAAAAGUGAUUUGUCGAGGCAUCGGCAAUGCUUCCUUUUGGGUCACCUCGCCGCUCCUGUUGACACUGAAGGAUUUCAAACAUAGCUGCUGUUGACGGUUCUUAAGUAUCAAUUUUAAUUAUCAAAUAAACAAGAGAAAGGACCAAUAUGCAAACAACACCUAGAAUUAGGGUUUGAUCUGACAGAAUUCCACGAGUUUUGUUGUUUAUCUGUUUCUGCAGGGGGUUAUCAGGAAAUAAGGAAGAAAGGCCCACAUGUCAGGAUUACAUAGAGAUAUCAACGCACCGCGCAAUUUUACAUCAUCUAGAAGACUCCAGAAGCCACGAGACCGAAGCGGAGGCAAAACUAGGCCAGGCCCAGGGCGCCCGCCCCCCUGCUGGAGCCAAAUCAUGACUCUUUCGAUCGGGAUAUUCCACCGACCUAUUGGAUCAAGAAAAACAUAGUACCACCUCGGCUAUCGACCAAAAAACGCAUAGAAGGGGAGGACUAUAUAAGCAAGGCCCCCCUGGCCCCUGGAGAGGACAUGAAGAAAUUAUCAUAGAGACUGAUGGGUGCCCUCGAAGGAAAACCUCUUCUCUAAUUAAUAUUUCUUUUUAGGCUUAGCAAUCAAUGUAAGGUAGAAAUAGAUCUUCUAGUUUCUACUAGAUUGAGAGAGAUAGAGUGGAGGUGUAGAGUGGAGGAAGCCCGGCCUGUCGGUGUCUACUCCAAGCUUGUACCUGCGGAAUCAAGUUCUCCUAACCCGAAGCUUGCUCCUAGGAUUCUUCAGUAAUUCGACUUCUAAAUUCUAGUAAGUUCUUGUUUUAUUGUUCUUAUGGUUUAUGAGUUUACUUUAAUCUCUUCGCGUAGAGUUUAGAGUAAUCAUUGCUGGCCUGACUAGCUGGACCGUGGUAGUAGCUAGGAACGUGACAAUUCCGAGUUACCUUUGUAGAUCACAUCUCGUUAGCAGGAAGGAUAGGGUUUAUAGGUGCGGGUUGAACAUCCUUUGUGGUGUCUAGAUUCCGUUAGCCUCCCCAUUAGAACAAUAGAUCAUCCUUACCAAGGUUAGAAGGAGACUGCUGUUGCAGUCUUCUCUAUUUAUCACUCACAUCGAAAGACAUUCUUUGUGCCUAAAGGUUAGUAGUAAUAGACCGGUUAGUCAGAUGCACUCUUUCUCCUAGUGGUAAAAAAAUAAAUACGAUACUCUGGAUAAUUUCCCGGGUGAAGUGCUCACCGAUAUCCGUGCGCUUGCGGAUCAAUUCCUUAUUGCGUUCCCAAUUAUCAACAAGCAUUUCUGGCGCCGUUGCCGGGGAGAAAGACGGUUGCUGAGAUAACCUGUGUCUUGCUAUUAGGUUGUAUCUAUACUUUUAUCUUUUCUUAUCUUUUAUAUUCUUUAUUUAUUUUCUUUAUUCUUACCUUAUGGAAAACCAAAAUUCUAAAUCGAUCCAUGAGUCUGCAAUCCCUGUAGCAACUGACCUUUUACCAUGGGAAUCAUCACAGCCUAUCCAAACACCCCAGUAUAAGUUAAGUUCUAGGUUGAUUGCCAUGAUUCAAAACCUAUCUUUUUCGGGAAAGGAAGACGAAAACCCUUACCUUCAUAUUAGAGAUUUUGAGCAAACAUGUGAUUGUCUUCGCAUUGAAGGCAUUUCUGAUAAGACUUUACGUUGGAAGCUUUUUCCUUUUUCUCUAAGGGGAGAAGCUAGACAAUUGUACAGUCAGAAGGUAAGUCAACAACAAGGUGAAUGGGGAGUUUUACAAGCCAACUUUUGUCUAGAUUUCUAUUCCCUUGACCGUAUAGCCGACCUUAGACUCGAAGUCCUAUCUUUUAAACAAAAAGAUAAUGAAACAUUGGGAAAAUCCUGGAAACGUUUUUCUGAUCUUUUAGAAUCUGGUCCAAACCUUAAUCUUGAAGACCCUGUUCUUUUAUUUCACUUUUUUCGAGGUCUUCAGAAAAAUCACAAACAAAUGCUGCACACAAUGUCUAGAGGUUCUUUCUUUCGCAUCCCUGCUGAUGAAGCAAGAGUGAUCCUAGAUAGAAUCCUAGAAGCUGAGAUGGAUAAUACCCUUCAUGAUGAAACCUACGAAGCCGAAGUAGACACUCUGCCAAAUUCUUCAUCUACUUUAGCUAUCCCAAGUUCUGAGCCUCAAGAGGAAGAAAUUCCACCACCGGACUUCAUGCUGGAUAUAGAAUCCGAUCUUUUUGCCGAUUUUGGAAAUAUUUCAAACUACCAUUCUAUUGACAAACCCCAAAACGGCCAGUUUAGCAUUUAUUUACCAAGUGAAUAUCAAUUGAGAGAGCUUAUCUCAGUAAUGAGUAGCGAAUGGUUGGAGGAAUCAGAGCUUUCCUCUGAUGUGAUCCGUUUGGACACACCCUCUAUAACUAUACGCUGUGCUUAUAAUUCUGAUCGAUUUAAUGCUCUUUAUAAUCCUGUUGUGGGGAUCAACAUUAUGUCUGAAUCCUUUGCACUUAAACUAUUUAAAAAUCUUAUCUUAACCCCCACAGCAAAGGUCAUAAAGGAAUCUUCGGGACGAUUAGUCCCCAGUCUUGGAAUUAUUAAUGUCCUACCUCUUACGGUAGAAGGCUCCAUGGUUCAUUUGAACUUCUAUAUCUUUGAUACAUGGGACUUCGACCUAUUGAUAGGACAACCUUUUAGAAGACUCCUUUAUGAAGGUCAUACUGGAAAGCUACACAUUUCUUUUGGAAAAACUUUUCAAUUCCCAAUGAUAAUUUCACACUCCUUAAAUAAUAAGGCCGAGUCAUAUCUUUUGCCUGAUCCUAUGGAGGAAGUAAAGGCUGCAUCUCUAGAGCUUUUAGAUGAACUAGACUUAGAAGACGAAACUCCUUUCUUCACAGAAGAAGAAGACGAACCUUCUGAGCCUGAACCCUUAGAUGAGCUUGCAGAAACACCUAGACACCCCAUAGAGCUUAAAACUUUACCACCCGGUCUUACCUAUGCUUUCCUAAACAAUAAUCCAGAGUUCCCUGUGAUCAUUAGCGAUAAACUCACUCAGGAUCAAACUCUGCGAUUAAUGACCAUUCUUGAGAAACAUCACUCAGUUUUCGGCUACUCACUUCAAGAUCUUACAGGAAUCAGUCCUAUGAUUUGUACCCAUCGUAUUCCAACAGAUCCUUCUGUUACACCCUCUCGAGAACCCCAACGUAGACUUAACAACACUAUGAGAGAGGUAGUUAAAAAGGAAGUUAUUAAGUUGCUGCAUGCAGGGAUUAUAUAUCCUGUGCCGCACAGUGAGUGGGUGAGCCCAGUCCAAGUUGUGCCCAAAAAGGGAGGCAUGACAGUUAUUAUGAAUGAAAAGAAUGAGCUAAUUCCGCAACGCACCGUCACCGGAUGGCGGAUGUGCAUAGACUAUAGAAAACUAAACAAAGCCACGAGAACAGAUCACUUUCCCUUACCUUUUAUAGAUGAGAUGCUAGAGCGGUUAGCAAACCAUUCAUUCUUUUGUUUCUUAGAUGGAUAUUCAGGGUAUCAUCAAAUCCCGAUCCAUCCCAAUGAUCAAAGCAAAACCACUUUUACAUGCCCUUAUGGAACUUAUGCUUACCGUAGAAUGUCUUUUGGGUUAUGUAAUGCACCAGCUUCUUUUCAAAGAUGCAUGAUGUCUAUAUUUUCUGAUAUGAUUGAAGAGAUUAUGGAAGUUUUCAUGGAUGAUUUCUCUGUUUAUGGAAAAACUUUUGAUAGUUGUCUUGAAAACUUAGACAAGGUUUUGCAAAGAUGUGAAGAAAAGCACUUAAUCCUUAAUUGGGAAAAAUGUCAUUUUAUGGUUAGGGAAGGAAUAGUGCUGGGACACUUAGUGUCUGAAAGAGGAAUUGAGGUAGACAAAGCUAAAAUUGAAGUAAUUGAACAACUACCUCCACCUGUGAAUAUAAAAGGAAUUCGAAGCUUUCUUGGCCAUGCUGGUUUUUAUCGUAGAUUCAUAAAGGAUUUUUCAUUCAUUGCUAGACCACUUACUCUUUUGCUAGCCAAGGAUGCUCCUUUCGAAUUUGAUGAUGCAUGUCUAACAUCUUUCAAUUUAUUAAGGAAAGCACUCAUCUCUGGACCAAUCAUUCAACCCGCUGAUUGGUCGUUGCCUUUUGAAAUUAUGUGUGAUGCUAGUGAUUAUGUUGUGGGGGCAGUAUUGGGACAAACUAAAGAUAAGAAGCAUCAUGCAAUUGCUUAUGCCAGUAAAACUUUGACAGGAGCUCAACUCAAUUAUGCAACCACUGAAAAAGAGCUUCUGGCUGUUGUCUUUGCCAUUGAUAAAUUUAGAUCUUAUUUAGUUGGAGCUUAAAUAAUUGUUUACACUGAUCAUGCUGCACUAAAAUAUUUGCUCACUAAAAAAGACGCUAAACCUCGCCUGAUUAGAUGGAUUUUAUUACUCCAAGAAUUUGACUUAGAAAUAAAAGAUAAAAGGGGAGUAGAAAAUUCUGUUGCUGAUCACCUGUCUAGAAUGUAUUUUAAGAGUCCACAGGAAACCCCCAUCAAUGAUUCACUCCGAGACGACAUGCUCUACGGGAUUAACAGGUCUGACCCCUGGUAUGCAGAUAUUGUUAAUUUUAUGGUUUCAGGGUAUGUACCACCAGGAGCAAACAAGAAGAAGCUUAUUCAAGAAAGUCGUUCACAUAUAUGGGACGAGCCAUACCUCUUCCGAGUAUGCUCUGAUGGCUUACUCAGGAGAUGUGUGACCACUGAGGAAGGAUGGAAGAUCAUCGACAGAUGUCAUUCAUCACCAUAUGGAGGUCAUUAUGGAGCAUUCCGUACACAUUCAAAGAUCUGGCAGUGUGGAUUCUACUGGCCUACAAUGUAUGAAGACAUGAAGCAAUAUAUCAGGAGAUGUGGGCCAUGUCAAAGGCACGGAAACAUAAAUACAAGGGAUGCAAUGCCACUCACCAACAACCUUCAGAUUGAGCUCUUUGAUGUCUGGGGAAUAGACUACAUGGGUCCAUUUCCUCCAUCAAAGAAGUGUGAGUACAUUUUGGUGGCGGUUGACUAUGUCUCCAAGUGGGUAGAAGCAUUACCUUGCAAGCAUGCCGACAACGACAGUUCAAAGAGGAUGUUUGAAGAAAUUAUAUUUCCAAGAUUUGGAGUUCCCAGAGUAGUGAUAAGUGAUGGAGGAGCACACUUCAUCGACAAACGCUUCAAGCAAUGUCUAUCAAGACAUGGAAUCCAUCGCAACAUCGCUACCCCGUAUCAUCCUCAGACAAGUGGCCAAGCAGACUUCCAACAAACAAAUCAAGAAUAUUCUUCAGAAGAUAGUAAAUGAAAUGGGAACGGCAUGGAAAGACAAGUUACCCGAUGCACUCUGGGCAUACCGGACAGCAUACAAGACCCCAAUUGGAAUGUCUCGAUACCAAUUGGUGUAUGGGAAGACUUGCCAUCUACCUGUUGAACUAGAGUUCAAAGCACACUGGGCCAUAAAGAGAUGGAAUAUGGACCUAGAUGUUGCUGGAGAUUAUAGAAGAAUGCAACUAUCAGAAUUGGAAGAAUGGCGAGAGAAGGCAUAUCACAAUUCAAAAAUCUACAAAGAAAGAGUCAAGAGGUGGCAUGACAAGAGAAUCAAGAAGAAGGAAUUCACACCCGGAGAUAAGGUAUUACUUUUUAAUUCCAGGGUAAAGCUUUUCGGGCAUGGAAAACUCCAGAGCAAAUGGGAAGGACCAUUCAAGGUAAUCAAUUCAUCAUCCCACGGAGCUAUCACACUUCAAAAUAGCGAAGGUACGUUAUUCAAGGUAAAUGGUCAACGUCUUAAAUUAUUUUUAGAGCCCAAUGAGGAAUUUGAAGAAAUAGACGUAGUCCAUUUUUACCUUCCCAUAGAAAAUUAGAGCCCGACACUUUUGGUCUGAUGGUUUUGGGGCAUAUAUAUAUUUUUCUAAAUAAUUUCGCAUCUAGAAACGCGCUCGGAAAAAUGGGCCCACAGAGGGGCCAGAGAGAGGGCGGGCGCCCAGGUCAAGUGGGCGGGCGCCCAGCCCCUGUUCCCCCUCGGUCCCGACUUUCUCUGUUAUGGAAAAUGCACUUAGGGUGAUCCGAAUAAUCCCUCGGAUGGAAAGUUUCGCACGCACAUCGACGGGAGCAACCCGAACAACCCAUAGAGGCAUCCUUUUGACCCCUAUAUAAACAGACCCCUGACCUCAGUUUUCAAACACCAAGCCACCAAGCUUUCUCUCCUUCAAUUAGAGCUUAAUUAGCUCUACUUCAAUUAAAAUUUUAUUAGUUCCUUGUUGCUCCAAUGGCCGACAAGUACCACAACGAUUGGGAAGUCGUCCCCUUCAACCUCAACAUGCAGCCAGUGGAAGACCCCGAUGCCCGUGCUCUCGUCCCGGCCAACACAGAGCGUCAGCUAGAAGCCAUGCCAUUACGCCAACGCAGCUCCGCCCAAUCUUACCAUGCUCAACCAGUUCUCACCGCACCGCCAACCCCUACUCCUCAAAGGACUAUCAUCCAAGACGAAUACCACUAUCAUGGUGCCAAUCGGCACAAGGAUCCUUCCACCUAGACCCAAUGAGAGGGUCGUUGGAGUCAAGACCAACCGAAGCGGUGAGAUCAGCAGCGUACGCUACACUUCAAAGGAGGAAAGGCCUUACUUUGAAGGGAUUAGAGCAGCCAAAGUCCGUUUCAUCCCUCCAAAGGCAGCCCCGAUGCAUGCUCUCAAUGCUUUUGGGACACCUCCCAAGCGUCGCAAGACUAUAAUGGAUAUUGAUGAGGAAGUUCGCAGGCUAGAUAGAGUUAUCAUAGACCUCCAGUCCUCGAUUAAUUCCUUCACUAGGCAACUCUCUAACCACAACACCAUUAUACUAGGCCUUAGGCAGGAUCUUGCCAGUGCCAACAAGAAGAUCAAGGAAUUAGAGCGCCGUUAAGUUAUCUAGAUUAGACUUUGAGGCAAUGCAUUUUAGUCAUCUAUCUUUAAAUUCGGUUUAGGUUUACUAUUAUCAUCAGUUUACUACUAUUAUCAGUUUGCUACUAGUCUUUUGUAAUAAAUGCCUCAAGAUCAAUAAAGUGUAUUACUAUUAUUAUUAUGUCUUGUGUGUCUCUACUUUACUUUUGUGCAAGAAAGCAGAAAACAAGUAUGGGGGAGAUCCCUCAACAUGCCAAACACACUCCGACUACACCACUCCACGAUUCAGGUACACACUCUGUACACUUUACUUUACACAUAUAUAUAUUUUGGAUUAUGCAGAUUAUUGUUUCCGACAUGAUAAAAUAAAAAGAUUAAAAUAUUUCUAAUCAUGAUUAAUCUCAAUCUAUGAUAUUUCCUGAAAACUUGCAAUUAUUAUAAAAUCAUUUUAAAACUCUGUGUUACUUAAGUCAAUAUGGAAUAUGUGAUGGUAGAGUAUGAGUUUCUUAUUCUUGAUAUCAUUGUUGCUUGGAGAAUUUAUUUCAAAAUAUUCAAAAUUCUAGCUACCAUCCUCAGUGUUUUAUAUGCCUGAUAAAAAUAAAAAUAUUAAUGAUGAUUAUAAAGCUAUCUACUCUGUAUUGAGUUUGUUCAAAAUGAGUUAGACCCUUGUUGAGAGAUUUAUCAUGCUCCUAAGAUCAAGACAUUAUUUCAGAAAGAUUCACUCUUCCGAAGUAUUAUUGCAUUAGAGGCAUGGGCUAUGCAAAAAUAAAAAUAUUUCGAGGAAAUAAAAAGGAGCAAGUGCUCGACAACCUCGCAGAAAAAAUGGACAAGUGUCCGGCAGUAGAAUUAGGGGUACCUCGGUAUCCACUUAAAAAAAAUGAAAUGAAAAUGAUAGCCCGUGGUCCCUCUAAUAAGCAAUAUGCCAGUAAGAGUUGACAAAAGUUUUUAAUUUCCAAAGUCUUUGAUCUAAGAGUAUGACAUUCCCCUCCUCGGAUCCCGUUUUGAUCAGGCAAUAAAUGCAAAGUAAGAAUGCUUGACAAUUUUUGCAAAAUAAAACAGCCUCAGUGAGAUAUAUAUAUAAAAGAUAAUGAGUGAUCUGAGAGAACCUAUGAGGAUAAAAAGGUAUGCUAACUUUCUUUCAAAAAUAUACAAAAGCUCCAAGUGACAGGAUUGAGAAGAAAGGAUCUUUACUCUUAACCAUAAACAUCCCUGACUAUGGUACACAGUGGAAUUUUAACACCCUGCAAUUAUAUAAAGAGAAUGUUUUAAAUGUUUUACCCCAGAUAUUUUUCUUAACCAUCCUUUUCUCGAGGACGAGUAAAAGCCUAAGUAUGGGGGUAUUUGUUGACGGUUCUUAAGUAUCAAUUUUAAUUAUCAAAUAAACAAGAGAAAGGACCAAUAUGCAAACAACACCUAGAAUUAGGGUUUGAUCUGACAGAAUUCCACGAGUUUUGUUGUUUAUCUGUUUCUGCAGGGGGUUAUCAGGAAAUAAGGAAGAAAGGCCCACAUGUCGGGAUUACAUAGAGAUAUCAACGCACCGCGCAAUUUUACAUCAUCUAGAAGACUCCAGAAGCCACGAGACUGAAGCGGAGGCAAAACUGGGCCAGGCCCAGGGCGCCCGCCCUGGUAGCCUGGGCGCCCGCCCCCCUGCUGGAGCCAAAUCAGGACUCUUUCGCUCGGGAUAUUCCACCGACCUAUUGGAUCAAGAAAAACAUAGUACCACCUCGGCUAUCGACCCAAAAACGCAUAGAAGGGGAGGACUAUAUAAGCAAGGCCCCCCUGGCCCCUGGAGAGGACAUGAAGAAAUUAUCAUAGAGACUGAGGGGUGCCCUCGAAGGAAAACCUCUUCUCUAAUUAAUAUUUCUUUUUAGGCUUAGCAAUCAAUGUAAGGUAGAAAUAGAUUUUCUAGUUUCUACUAGAUUGAGAGAGAUAGAGUGGAGGUGUAGAGGGGAGGAAGCCCGGCCUGUCGGUGUCUACUCCAAGCUUGUACCUGCGGGAUCAAGUUCUCCUAACCUGAAGCUUGCUCCUAGGAUUCUUCAGUAAUUUGACUUCUAAAUUCUAGUAAGUUCUUGUUUUAUUGUUCUUAUGGUUUAUGAGUUUACUUUAAUCUCUUCGCGUAGAGUUUAGAGUAAUCAUUGCUGGCGUAAACGUGGUGUUUAGGCUGGGGUACUCAUAGAUAUUCCCUGAUUAGCUGGACCGUGGUAGUACCGAGGAACGUGACAAUUCCGAGUUACCUUUGUAGAUCACAUCUCGUUAGCAGGAAGGAUAGGGUUUAUAGGUGCGGGUUGAACAUCCUUUGUGGUGUCUAGAUUCCGUUAGCCUCCCCAUUAGAACAGUAGAUCAUCCUUACCAAGGUUAGAAGGAGACUACGGUUGCAGUCUUCUCUAUUUAUCACUCACAUCGAAAGACAUUCUUUGUGCCUAAAGGUUAGUAGUAAUAGACCGGUUAGUCAGAUGCACUCUUUCUCCUAGUGGUUAAAAAAUAAAUACGAUACUCUGGAUAAUUUCCCGGGUGAAGUGCUCACCGAUAUCCGUGCACUUGCGGAUCAAUUCCUUAUUGCGUUCCCAAUUAUCAACAGCUGCUUGUAUUCCUCCAUAGCUUUUGCCAUAGCUUGCUUCUGCUCAUCUCUGAGAUUGGCUUCAGUUACGGGGAUGAUGUUAUCCGUAUCGAAAUCAGUAUUCGAUAUGUUGAUCUUGACGAUGAAUCUGAAUCUGUCCCACCGGGCGUGCCAAAAGAUGUGUUGAUGCAAAAGUGGAUCUGCAAACACAAAAGGCCAAUACCCGAUUCAACGUUAAGGCAUGCCAGCCGAUUUGACCUUACAACCGACAAAGGUGAUAACUCGAAUACUUUGGUCACGACAACAGCGAUACGCCCGGAUGCCACGGCCAAGAGGUAUUCACACGGAACUUGAGAACUCGCCGAGGUUAACUUGAUGAAUUCCUAAGAACUCGUAAGGAAAAAGAAAAUAUGCAAGUUGACGAAGUUGUCGAAAAAGUAGAUGCUAGAAUAGAUGUAAAACUUGUGUUUGAUUGAUUGUGAUUGUCUCCUUACAUCUCUACUAGGUCUAUAUUUAUACCCUGUCCCAAAGAGCUACAACCAGGUACGACUAGAAUUCUAUUUCCAAACUAAACAGAAUCGGUAUACAAAACAAACUCUAAUAACUAUGGAAAUCAUUAGUUUAUCCAUCCUAGGUAAUCGGCACGCUACCACUAUUUCCUCGACAAUUCCUACACCCUUCUCCAUCAUCGGCACCUCAUCUUCCAUCGGCAUCGGCAACUGUUAACAUCAGCCAUCAGUAUAGAUCAAUCAUUAUUCCUGGACUCGGUCAUAUUGUGGCGCUCUAUCAUUGGCAUCAUAACCCAUCGGUAACUGCUCUAUCAACCAGUCAUUACUUUUUCACCUGCCGAUCCAAGUUCCACUAUCUGUCCAGAUACGUGUCAAAAACGGUAUCAACAAGAAUACACAAUGAGUUUGAAACAACCAUCAAGAAAGUGAGAAGUGACAAUGGAAGUGAAUUCAAGAUACAAGAGUUGAUGAGCUUUGUGAUAAUUUGGGAGGAUGUUACAUAUGAGCAUGGAGCAAAUGAAGUGGCUAUGAAAUAAAUUCCAUGCUCAUUAAUGUUUGGAAUGAAAUCCAUGUGGUAUGGUGAAAAUGGUAAGGUGAGUGUGAUAAAAAAGGAAAAGAAAAAGGAUACACGGACGACUUGGUUCGAAACUACCACAGCUACCGUUCCCCGGCAACGGCGCCAGAAAGCUUGUUGGGUAUUUUAAAUGCAAAAAGAAAAAUCCGCAAGCACACGGAUACCGAUGUAGCCUUCACCCGGGAGUAUUCAGAGUAUCGAUUUUCCACUGGGAACGUGAGUGUACUAAUUAAGAUUCAAGAUCGCCCAAGGAUAACUAUAUUAUUAUUUUUGGUGGGAAGAGAGGAAGUUUCCUGAGAGUUCUCUAGUUGAUCUAAGAAUCAAGAAUUACUUCAAGAUUAUCUAUUUUGGGACAUCAGAACACUAACCACAAAAAGAGAUGAGAAGGGGGCUAGGAAGCUCUGACUACAGUCCUACAAACACCGAUCCGAACGAGGUGGAAUACGUCGACCGUUAGGGCUGUCACUAUCCUAGGGCUACCACAACAAUCCGCAGGAUUGGGUCCAAUUCCAGGUAAUUACAAGACUAAACACCACGUCUAAUCUAUUAAUUACUACUCUAGCAUUAUAAAGACUAGAGCACUUGAUGCAAGUGGGAAUCCAAUAUAUAACUUGAAUGUAAAUAAAAGUAAUUAAAGAACUCAGGAAUUAUGAAUUGAAGAACUUGGAGAACGAUGAAGAACGAACCAGUUGCAGCAAAAGUAUAAUGUUGAGAAAGAUCCGACAGAUCCGGCUCCUCCUCCGCUCUCCUCUUCUCUCUCCCGAUUUUCUAGAUUACAACUAGAACGAACUAGAACUAGAACUAGAUGAACUAGAACUAGAACUAGAUGAACUACAGGUAGAACUAGCUGAACUAGAGGGAUCCUCUCUACUUGGAUGAAGAAUUGAAACCCUAACUUUGAUUCUGUAGAAGAGGUAUGAUCUCCAAGGGCCAGGGGGCCUUGCUUAUAUAGUCUUUUCAGAUGAAACUGGGCCGUCGUAUCAAACCGACAUUAAUCGCAUGGUUUUCCUUGAUCCUUUAGGUCGGUGGAGCAUAAUCCGCGAAACGGGUCCUGAUUGGACUCUGGAAGUGGGCGGGCGCCCAGGAGAGUAGGGCGGGCGACCUGUCCCUGAGCCCUCUCGGCUUCCAGUUCGUUCCCGUGGCUUCUGGAGUCUUCUAGAUGAUAGAAAAUUGCGCGUCACAUUAAUAUCUCUAUGUAAACCCAACGUGUGGGCCUUUCCUCCGUAUUUCCUGAUAACCCCCUGCAGAAAUAGACAAACACCAAAACUCGUGGAAUUCUGUCAGAUAAAACCCUAAGUCUGGGUGUUGGUUGCAUUUGGAUCAUUAUCUAUGAUUAGUUGAUGGUUAAAUGUGAGCAUUAAGGACCAUCAACAAGCUCCCCCAAGCUUAACUUUUGCUCGUCCCUGAGCAAAGAUGGACUCAAGAGUUUCUGUAGUGGUUUCAUGCCUUAAAGGUACACAUGCGUUCAAACAAGAUCUCAUCUUUGGGUUAGGGUAAACUGUUAAGAUUUAAACUUACUCAUUUUACCUUCCACCAUGGGGCUUGCAACCGUCACCUGUGUCUUGAGCAGUUAAAAGAUAGAACGGUCUAGUCAAGCGCCAUGUCUCUUGUUCUUCGAUUAACUAUAGCUCUGGAGUUUUUUUGCAGAUUUUCAAAUAAAACACAGAGAUUCCUUGUAUGACUUUCUGUAGUCUCUAUUUUGUGGUAUUUCUGGAUCCUUACCAAGGCAGCAAUGGUGUAUGCCUUCUCUCAAAGUAUGUGAUAUUUUUGGUAUGAGGCAUAGUGGCAUUGCCUUCUCUCUCACCCUACUCUAAUAAGGUUUUGAUAUCUGGAGCUCAAAGGUGGGAGAUAGCCAAUACAUACUUACAAGACAUUCAUUGCAUAGUCAAACCAUGGAUCCAGAAGAACAAGUCAAUAAGUCAUAUCAAGAUGUGCAUGUGUGGCGAAUGAAUGGUGUAUGGUGAUGAUGGUGAUAACAAUGGUGAAAGUCUAAUUCUACUUAUGCUCUUUUGAGGGGAUACAUACCUUUCUUGCUCUUUUGAAACUUUUUGAGGAGAAGGAGAUGCUCUAUAUUUUCUUUUUCUUUCCUCUCAGGUGGGUAUCUUGUACCCCUAAUUUUAUUAUCGGACACUUGUCCAUUUUUACCUCUCGUCUCACUUUUUAUUUUCUUUCGAGGUUCCGGGCACUUGCCCCUUUUUAUUUCCUCGUAUUCACUUUUUUUUUCAGAACACUCAUCCUCCUAGAAUAAUGUAGCAAGUGGUAAUAACCAAAAUAUCUCGAGCAUUUAUUUCACAGAGAAAACAGAAAUGUUUUUGGCUAUUCUCUCCCGGAUUAGGAGUAGAAUAUUUUUAGGUGAUUCUGGAGAUGGAAAUGGGUGGAUAUAUGUGGAUGCGUACUUCCGGAGUAGAAGCAGCAUGUGUGAGUGAACGUGCAAGUGAAUCUUGACUUAACCACAUGACAAGCUCCUAAGGGUUUACACAGCUUGACCACACUCAAUGCUCAUAAGCAGUAAAAAGUAAAUGUGUGGCUCAAAGUUUAGCAAGCAUGUAUAUAUGACUGUGGUAGGAAUUUAAACUCUCAUCAUACAGAAACUCAUCAUGUGAUAUUUUAAAGAUUUUCAAAGAUAAAAUUCUCCAGAAUUCUAGCAUCUCUAAGAACAGAUAAACAGUAGCUCAACCUUCCCAUAUCGUAUCCGUUAACGACUUAGACUUUAGAUCAAGUACUCUCCCCACAGGUUCAGGUUUAGAGCAAAUCUUAAUUAAUACCAGUCAUGCCUAAACUUGAGAGAGAUUUCAAUUCUGAGAACUAGUCAUGGCAGAGCAACUAUUCAUCAUUUCCAUGUGAGAGCUUAUCAUGAGGGUUCAUAGCAAACUUUAUUUAUUUAUUUAUUUAGCAAACUAAGCAAAGAUAUAUAUAAGCACAAAAUCUUUAUUUGGGUUUUUAUGAUUAUGCAUCUUUUUAUUAUUUGAGUAAAAUAUAAACGUGAGUAGAACACUUAGCUGGAUAAAUGGGAGUGCUCUCCCCCAAGCUGGAUUUUGACGUAACUUCUCCUGAUGUAGCUAGCAGGUGGCGGAGGUGUAUUUGAAUGUCGGCAGUACUCUGACAGGGAUUAGGAUGUCCUCCGUCUGCUAGUCUUCUUUGAUCCUUGAAUUCUGUGGAGCUCAAAUAGACAAUUAAGCUUUGUGGAACUAGUUAAGUGUUAGCAUAAAUAUUUAGCCUUUAUCAUGUUGAGCCUCCUCAAUAAAUGUUACACUCUUUAGUAGGAUCAUAAAUUUAUUU